rnacentral:lncRNA from 1 species
UUUUAGUUUGUGAGUUCAGUAACACUUUGAGCUAAUUAAUACUAUUAGUUAAUUUCAGAUUAGUUCAGGGAUUGCUUAUGUUUUAACCUCAACAACCACAACGAACGAGAACGACCAAGCCCUUCUUCCGCUGUUUAGGAAACGAUGAUUGUUGGUAUACGUUUGGAGUCGCCAACAGGGGAAAUUCUUGAGCAAUCAUUCCGACUAGCAUUUCCAGCUUCCAAUAACGAAGCAGAAUAUGAAGCAUUGAUCGCUGGUUUACGCCUCACUCACGGGAUCGGCGUCAAAAAAAUCCAAGCUUAUUGUGACUCGCAACUUGUUGCCAAUCAAUUCAGUGGCGACUAUGAAGCUAAAAAUGACCGGAUGGACGCCUACCUCAAAGUCGUCCGAGAGAUGUCCCGCAACUUUGAACUCUUUGAACUCAAUAAGAUUCCACGAAGUGACAAUGCGCCCGCCGAUGCGCUAGCUGUACUUGCAUCCACGUCUGAUCCCGACCUUCAUCGCAUCAUCCCUGUCGAACGCAUCGAUCAGCCUAGCAUCGAUCUACCUAUUGCAGCAUCCGUACCGCCCGCACCAGCCAUCGGUCCUAACGUGCAUCCAAUCGUCUACUUGCUCAACAAACCGACAGCUUCAACUCGUUCCGCCAGCACUCAACUUGUCCUACCAAACAAUGUAUCUGCAAUCACUCCACAAGCCGACCCGGUUGACUCCGAUUGGCAAACAGAAAUCCGCAACUAUAUUGCCGAUGGUAUCGUGCCAGCUGACAAAUGGGCAGCUCGACGUCUACGAGCGCGCAGCGCACAAUACACACUCCUUGACGGUAAUCUUUGUCGUUGGACCGCUGCUGGAGUGCUCCUCUCCUGCAUCUCCGGUGAUGAGACCCUCCAAGUCAUGCGUGAGAUCCAUGAAGGCGCCGGCGGUAAUCAUUCCGGCGGUCGAGCAUUAGCACUUCGAAUCCGUAAACAUGGCCACUAUUGGCCUACCAUGAUUUCGGACUGCGAGAGGUUUGUUGCUCGUUGCGAAAGAUGCCAGCGUCACGCCCCCAUUAUUCAUGCACCAACAGAACUCUUACGAACUGCUACACCGCCAUAUCCGUUCAUGCGCUGGGCAAUGGACAUCGUCGGACCCCUUCCUGCAUCCCGCCAAAAGAAAUAUCUCCUGAUCAUGACGGAUUAUUUCACUAAAUGGGUUGAGGCAGAAUCAUAUGCUCGUAUUCAGUCAAAGGAAGUUCAAAAUUUCGUUUGGAAGCAUAUCAUUUGCCGCCACGGACUACCAUAUGAGAUCGUUACCGACAACGGUACUCUGUUCACCUCAUUACAGUUCGAAGGUUUUUGCGCAAAAUGGCGUAUCCGUAUAAGUAAGUCCACACCCCGUUAUCCCCAAGGAAAUGGCCAGGCUGAGGCAACAAACAAGACCAUCAUUGAUGGACUCAAGAAGCGUCUCGAGGAGAAAAAAGGUGUUUGGGCCGACGAACUUGAUGGUGUGUUGUGGUCCCACCGUACCUCUCCACGCCGAGGAACCGGCCAGACACCUUUUUCGCUUGCUUAUGGGCUGGAGGCCAUGGCGCCAUCUGAAGUCGGCCUUUCUACAAUCAGACGAUCCAUGCUCGUCCGGAAUCCUUCACUCAACGACAAGAUGCUCCUCGAUAACCUCGACACCUUCGAAGAACAGCGCGACCAAGCUCUCCUUCGCAUCCAGAACUACCAGCAGGCCGCAGCGAAAUUUUACAACAAAAAGGUGAAAUCUCGAUACUUUGCCGAAGGCGAUCUCGUACUCCGCAAGGUUUUCGAAAACACGGUCGAAGUAAAUGCUGGAAAGUUAGGCGCUCAUUGGGAAGGUCCAUACUUCGUCUCCAAAGUCGUCAGACCCGGCGUCUACGAACUCUUAACGAUGGACGGCACCCCGAUCCCUCGCUCUUGGAAUUCCGCGAACCUCAAGCGCUACUACUACUAGCGCCUCCCUCGCGCUAAAAAAAAAAAAAAAAAAAAAAACGAACUACGGUUGGCUUGAUCCCUUCAAACGGGUACGUAGGCAGCCCUUCCUGAGCACAGCUAAAAAAAAAAAAAAAAAAAAAAAAAAAACGAACUACGGUUGGCUUGAUCCCUUCAAACGGAUACGUAGGCAGCCCUUCCUGGGCACAGCUAUAACAAAAAAAAAAAAACCGUUUCGACGAUUGACCAGCUCCCACAUCGUCAAAUUACAUGUAUAAAUCAACGACAACAUACUUACCACGAACGAGCUCUUUCGAACGAGUCCGCCUCGACGAUUGACCAGCUCCCACAUCGUCUCCCUGGCCAGGAGUUCGAUUUAAACGCGUUCCACAUGGAUGCAGUGGCGAAAUAAUCCACAUCCUUACUUCGGUAAGGACUAAAAGCCGAGCCAGUCUCGCAUUAGCUAGCAGGCGGCCGAAUCAUAUUAAGCCAAGCUCCGGCUUGCACGUUCUUGCCGACCUCAUAGCACCCACAUGAUAAGCCGGACACCAGAACCGCACCUAUAUGGUACGACUAGUCCGCCUAGUCUACUUUCUACUAAGCUCAUCGUUCCGGCUCAAACGUAUACAGGAUAAGUCAAGAGACGUCUUGCCCCACAAUACGUUUCGAAACUAAGCUUAAAACGCCAAGGAUACCUCGCACAAAAAUCAGCCGAGAAUAACCUUGCAUCAAAAAUGACAAAGGCACAAAAAGCUUCUCUCAGCACGUAAAAGUCAAGCGACUAGACGGGAUAAGCCGAGCUGCAGAUCGCACCUAGUCCACAAUUACAAUGAGUACAACAUAAAUAACAAGCAAAGCCAAGAAUAAAUUGAAAACGUCAUCAAUAAAAAGAAGCUGCCGCAACCGCGAAACAACCAUAGUACAUUUAAAAAUCCGCAAUACAACAAAACCCAACACGGGGCCAACCGUACAUAAUGCCGAUCCGAAAAGCUACAACAAGCUAAAAAGCCGGACAAAAUCUACGAAUACUGAAAGAAGAAAUAGCGAAUAUCAAAUCCUCAUACUCAAAGAGAUCACCAAGGCACCAGCAACCUAAGCACCAUCUCCCUCCACUCCAGCCUCGGUCACCUCCACCGGUGCAUCAUCCGCCAACUCCGGAAAAGGAGCAAGAUCAUCAUCGCAAAGAUCGGUAAUCGUUAGCGAUUCAACCAUCGCACGCCAUUUAUGCUUAUCAGCUUUAAGUGCCGCCAUCUUCUCAUCCGGAACUGCCAAGCCGUCGGCGAUAAAUUUCUUUAGGCACUUCCGAGUACCCGUAGCUUGGCACUGCAUGAACAGAGGAUCUUGCGCGGCUCGACAAUCAAGGAUGUGCUUCCUUAACCUCUCAAUUCGGGCAGUGUACUUGGUAAUCUUUUCCUUAGCCCGGUUUCGUUCAUAACGAACAGCAGAAGUACGCGAGUCCCUUAGCCUAGUCUCCUCGGCAGUAGCCUUCUUAAGCUGUGCCGUAAGCCUUUCGACCUGCUCCUCGAGAUUUCCGACCUUUCCUUUUUCCGAGUUCAACGCACGCAACCGAUUUUGCGCAGAAAAACCUAAGGUCUUGUUCUCCGCUUUAAGGGCGACCGUUUCCUGUUCAAGAUCCUUCGCUCGGCGAUCGUAAAAAUCGACAAGAGCGUUUCCGGCACUGAUCGACUGAGAACAACAAAAAAAUCAUUCGAAGAACUCAAAAAAUAGAAAGAAGAGAAAUGAUAAAGACCUGUCCAAAUGGAAAUCCAACGAACCUGAAUCUGCUUGCAAGCCCAAGUCUGAUAAAGAUUCAUCCCCAGGAGAGAAUCAACGGGAGGAAACUCGUGAGGAGAUCCGUACACCUUGCUUGCGAAGUCACCACAAGAACUCCUGCUAACCGGAAAUGGUUCGUUUUUCUUCUCAUAGUUGAACGAGAAGGAAUAGUCAACUCCCCGGACCUCUUGAGCAGAACUCCCCCGUUCUCGUACGAUACCAGAAGACUCCCGCGAAUGGCCUCCAUGAGAAACCUUCCUACGUAAGGAAACAUCAACAUCGGGGGGAACACGAAAGGUGGCCUCGUUAGUCGAACCUGACACCUUCUUCUUCCCGGAACGAGCAGCAGAGACCCUAGCCGCCCUGUCCUCGCUAACAGCUCGACGGCCAGGAACGACCGCAGUUCUCCCCGAAACAUCAGGACCUACGUCUUGCUGCGGCUCAGCCACCAGCUGCGGCUGCACAACUCCUUGCUCCGACUCUUCAUCGAUCUGGAUAGUCUCGGUCUCGCUCGGCACUAUACCACUCACCCCGAAUGAGUCAGAAUAAUUCGGAAAUCGACAGCUCGCUUUCCCCAUCUCCAAACGUGACGGUGAACCUGCAAAACACUUUCGUAUAAGAGAACGAAUGCGAAAUAAUCAAACAAACGAACUAGCAAAGGAACGUACGAAUACAAGACGACUUGAUAACUCCUGGCCAAAACAAGGAUCCUCUCGUCCAAAUCGCACGUAGACCCACAGAUAUAUCGUUGCGAGCUUUACGUGGUCGAGGAUCGUGCGCUGCAAACAGAAAACAAAAUACGAUCAAAAACCAUGCAAGCAUUCACUUCAUGUAGUCGUAUCCAAAUAAAGUCUACCGGGAAACAAGUUCCACUCGGUAGCAAGAGAAGAGCUAGAUGCCGGAGCCGAAAUCUCAGACACUUGCACGUAGAAAUAAUAUCACCGCCAGUCGACAACCUUACUUUUCACCCCAUGAACUAUCUUGUGACUCGACCUGGCGUUCACUUGACAAAGACCCGGGUUAUCUGCCAUAACAGAGAAAGUAGUAGCUUCUUCGAAAAGAUCGGUAUCGACUUCUACACCACAGUCGUUCCCUAACAUCAUCAAGCCAACUGCAUUGCGAACCGAACCAAGAGAAAGCUGAGAAAAAGCGAUCCCCCGUCGAAAACAAUAUUGCACGAGAAAAUCUGGGAGAGGAAAGCGAAGUUGGCCGUCAGUGAAGUAAUCCUCGUAUACGCAUAUAUAUCCUUUGGGAGGAUUCCAAGGACGCCGAUGCGGUUUCGGCACCAUAAUCGCCAAAUCCUCGGGAAAAAUUCCCUGCUCGAAUAAAUCGGUUAACCUCUCUACAGUGCAUAACGAUUUCCCGCCAUCACGCGCAACAGGAACCGACGUCGAUCCGAUGCCAAGCGUAGCUUAUUUUGGACAACAAAGCCCCAAAACAACCGACCUCUUCCAAACAUCUCCAAUAGGGUUCGCGGUAACUUUGCAUUCCAUAACUUCGUCGCCUCCGUAUUCACCGCUCUUUCUCGACUUAUCGAAUCUACGAUGCUCUUCAAGUUGGCUCAGAGUUUUUCCGAUGCCACAGUUGGUAACCACGGGAACCAUUCCCAAUAAAGUGUCAAUCUCUCCCAAGUCUCCGUCAUCAACUUCACCGGAAUACUCCGCCAAAUCGCGACCACCAAAGUCCUCAAUUGACAAGCCAAACUCAUCAUUCCCCCCAUAGUGAACUCCUUGGUUCGCUACGUCACCGUUCAUACCUAACCAUUCGCGAUUCAUCGUCAAACCAAAACAAGUCGCGGGUUACAACGAACGAUCCACACAAUUUCCCUCCUCUUCAAACCGGUUCACGCUAAAACCACCGCCGUAAUGACCAAACCCAAGCUUGUUCUCCGAACGGACCGCCUCUUGGUCUCCUUUACUUGCACAAACAAACCACCGUUCUCCACGUCGCAAGCCGCCGAACCAAGUUUCUUGCCGAACCAACCUUCCCGCCGAACCAAGCUCCUCACCGGUUCAACUUCGCGCCGAACCAAACUCUUCGCCGAACCAAACCUUCCCGCCGAACCAAGCUCCUCACCGGUUCAACUUCGCGCCGAACCAAACCUUUCACCACAUCUCCUUCUCCACCGAACCACAACCACACAAAAAAAAGAGAGAAAGCAAAAGAGAUAAGGAAGAAAGAGAAAGAAAGUUUACCUUUUGGAAAAGUGAAGAGAUGAAAGUGGUAAAAGAGUAAAAGGAGGGGACAUAUAUAUAGAGAAAAGUGUCAGUACCACGCGCGUUUACCGAAGUAAAAAAUCCACAGUACAAAUCACCGGAACGAGCUUCGCGCUCCUCGAAAAACGUGCCCACAGCACAAAUCACCGAAACGAGCUCCGCGCUCCUCGAAAAACGUGCCCACGGCACAAAUCGUCGGAACGAGCUCCGCGCUCCUCGAAAAACGUUCCCACGGCACAAAUCACCGGAAAAAGCCAUGCGCCCCUGUUUAAGCCAAAUCAACAUAUAUCCAAUUCAGAAGACACGUUCACCAGAUUCAAGAAAACUCUCGUCUGCUGGACUAGGGGGGGGGCUUAUUGUUGGAUAUGGGCUUCACCCACAAAAUGCCAUUUGGCCCAAACAGAGACCCAACUAUUUAUCGGGCCUGUUGUCUCUCCAAUUCAGCCCAUCAAGUUUGGAGGGUAAAAUGGUAAUUUACUGAGGGAACAGAAGAGACCUUAGGUCACAAUGAUUAACCUAUAAAUAAUACACUAUUGGUAACAAGAAGACCCAGUGGUUAAUAUCCAGAGGAUUAGAGAAUUAUUCACAGCGUAUACUUUCGUUCGUAGUUCUCUUCGUAAACUUUCGUUCGUUAGUCAUAGUUCUUUGCGUAUACGUUCAUUGGUUGUUCGUAGCUCAUCGUCUGUAUGUUCGUCAUUUCUCCCUGUAACUAACCGAUCUCGUUCGUCGUUAAUAAAGAAGUUACUUCGUUCUCUCCGAAAAUCCUAUAGUUAUUCGUUGUUACAACCUCGGUACAAACAAUGAUGUUAACUUGUAGUAAAUAUUUUACGAAUGGUUGAACAAACCUAAGCUACUUGGAUUCAAUGUGUCAAUUUUUUACUGCAAAAUUCAAAAAUGUGUCAGGGUUCGUCAAAUAUGUAAAUGAUAUAAAAAGAUUAAAGAGAAAAAUAUGGUUGAUAUUUUAAAAAUUUCUGUUCACUCAACUUUUCUCUUUAAGCAAACCGUUGCACAAGUUGUAAAACCGUUUAUUUUUUCUUUUGAAUAUAAUUUAACAUUAGAUUCAAAAAAAAAAAAAAUAUGGUUGAUAUUAAAAUGUUGCAAUAACGGUGAAGCCAUGCCACAUAUGCUUUGCUUCAAAGUCAAGGCACAAGAAAUGUGCAUCGUUGACCCACCAAACAAUACCAUGCCGGAGACUUGUAGUUUUUCAACAUUCAAAGAUCCAAUAGAGAAAUUGCUCCCAAUAUUUAAACAAAAAGAAGACAAAGAUCCCAAAUAAAAUUAAUUGAGAAAUAUAAACGACUCACAAUUCUUGUAAAAAACAAUAUUGUAAGCGUUCAAAAAAGGAGAAUGUGAAAGACUCUAUUUCGAUAAUUAGUAUAUUAUAAACUGUAUAAACAAAAUAAUAUGUUUCUCUUACAAAUACUUUAAGAAUGAACAUUGAUACUUUGGCAAUGACUUUAAGAUAUACCUUUCACAUGACUGAUCGUAUAUAGUAGCUUUGAAAACAACUAAGAACAACUUUUUUGCACAUGUUAAUGUUAUCUGUUUCUAUUAAAUUCUAUAAUAAAUAAAAUUGUUUUCUUCAUGCCUGCAUUUACGGCUACAUCUUUGCCACACCUGUUAACAAUUCUUGGUCGAUAAAAAUAAUAUUUAGAGAUCCUUUUCAUAUUUUGUAACCAACGUAUAAACAUAUGUAAUCGAACAUAAGAAAAUCCCAUUUCUUCAUAUAAAUUCCCAUAUACUAUAUCAAAUUACUAAUCUAUGUUAAACUCGUUUAUCGAGUUGAUCUUAAUUUAGCUAAUAGACAAAACAAAACCGUAGGAAUUUACGUUAGUGAAUUACAAGUAAACGUAUUGUGACAAAUAGAAACUCUCAAAAAGCAACAAACAAUAAAAGUGUGAGCAGUUUGUAAUUCUUAUGUAUAUAAUUUGAUAUUUUAAUUUAGUACUUAAAUUUGGUAGGUAAAUUGAUCAAAAUUAAGUUGAUGUACGCAUGUAUAAUGUGUUUAAUUUCUAUGAACAUUUUUAAGAAAAUUCCAUUUCAUAUGUUUGACGGUGGAAAAUAUAUGAAAAACGGGAAAUAAUUUAUUUAUUUUCGUCGGCAAAGUUGAAAUUAGGAAUAAUAUUAUUUUUACAGAUUAGAGAAACGCGUCAACACAAAAGAUUAUAUUCCGAAGAAAAUAAAUAAUUUAAUUUAAUACCUGUAGUGGGCCUAAGCCAAGCCCAUUAUCCAAACAUAUAAGUGUAGAGGGAAACAUGAAGCAUCCGUUGUGGUUUCGAUAGGGAAGAAAAAAAAAACACAAAAGCGGCGUUGAUUUUUUUCGAUUUUCCGACAAGAAAAAAAAAUUCAAAAUUUCUCGUGAGAAGAUUUGGUCUGAAUCUAUCUUUCGAGAGGUUUUGAGUUAAUUUUCAAAAUGGGUUUGGAGAAAAAAUCUGCAUUGUUGGAAGAUUUGAUAAAGAAAUGCGGCGGUUGUGCGGUGGUCGACGGUGGUUUCGCUACCCAGCUUGAGAAUCACGGCGCCGCCAUUAAUGAUCCUUUGUGGAGUGCUGUUUCUCUCAUCAAAAAUCCUGAACUCAUCAAAAGGGUUUGUGAAAUUUUUGAUUUUUUCCUCAUUUCUGGUUUUUGAUUUUAUCCCUAAAUUUGAAAAUUACCAUCUUUAGGGUUUGUUAUGAUUAUCUUAAGCUAUGAAUUUGGAGAUUGAUAUAUUGGUGAAAUCACAGAUCUCUGGGUUUUUAUUUUUGUAUAAUAAUGGAUAGAGUUUGAUGAAAUAUAUUUGUUUAGGUUCACAUGGAAUAUUUGGAAGCUGGUGCAGACAUUGUGGUUACUUCAUCUUAUCAGGUAAAUUCUGAAGCAACCCAAUAUUUUAUUUGAUUUGUUCAUUCUCUUUCGUGUUUAACAAUCUAUCUAAGUUCAAGGUUUUGUAAUUUCUGGUGAUUAAAAGAUUAAGACGACAGAAAGAUUUGUAGGGUCAGAACUUAGAAAGAUACUUUACGUCAAGAUUGAAGAAGUCUUUUUUGGUUAUUGUAAAGAUUACAAAGCUUGUUUUUUUUCAGGCUACUAUCCCGGGGUUUCUUUCGAGAGGUUUAGCGAUAGAAGAGAGCGAGUCUUUGCUACAAAAGAGUGUACAAUUAGCUGUUGAAGCUCGUGAUAGAUUCUGGGACAAAGUGAGCAAAGUUUCAGGACAUAGCUAUAACAGAGCUCUUGUAGCUGCAUCUAUUGGAAGCUAUGGAGCUUAUCUUGCUGAUGGCUCUGAAUACAGGUGCCUUUUUAAGAAUUAAUCGAUUCACAUUACAUUUAUUUUGGUUUUGAAUAGAUUCAAGAUUCUCUCGAUGAGGAACUUAUAGUUGUUCGAUGUUCUUCUUGCAGUGGAAACUAUGGUGAGAACGUAAGUUUGGAUAAACUAAAAGACUUUCAUAGGAGAAGACUUCAAGUCUUAGUGGAAGCUGGUCCUGAUCUUCUUGCUUUUGAAACCAUACCAAAUAAACUCGAGGCUCAGGUUCGCUUUUGCCCGCCUAUUAUUGCUUCUUACAAAAAUGUUGUUAUCAGUCUUUUUUAAUUUUGUAAGUCUUCAAAUUUUCAGGCGUGCGUUGAGCUUUUGGAAGAAGAGAAAGUGCAGAUCCCAGCAUGGAUCUGUUUUACAUCGGUAGAUGGUGAGAAAGCUCCAUCAGGAGAGAGCUUUGAGGAAUGCCUCGAAGCUCUUAACAAAAGCAACAAUAUAUAUGCGGUUGGUAUAAACUGCGCUCCUCCUCAAUUCAUCGAAAAUCUGAUUUGCAAAUUCGCUAAGGUAAGUAGUAGUUUAAACUUCUUUUAGAUUGUAUCACAAACCUACAUCAAAAGUCUUACUUUCUGUGUCACUUUCUUUCUUUUCAGCUGACCAAGAAGGCAAUCGUUGUUUACCCAAAUAGCGGAGAGGUUUGGGAUGGAAAGGCGAAACAAUGGCUGGUAUGUUGUUUUCUCGCUUAUUUUUAUCUAAUUUCGGAAAUAAAUGUAUCCGUAGAAGAAAAAUGAUCGCACCAGUCUCAUAAGUCAAUCAUAGUAGCUAUGGAACUGCAUCAGUGACGAUUUGCAGUCAAACCUGGACCGAGCAAUUCAAUAUUCAGAAUCUAGAAUGAAUGAAUAUAAAAGUUACAGUCUUGUUGAAUUAUGAUCUAUAAGUCUGAUUUUACUGCAUUAAGGUUGAAGAAAUGAAUCUCUUCUGAUUUUUGGGUGAUAUUUGGCAGCCAUCACAAUGCUUUGGUGAUGAUGAAUUUGAGAUGUUUGCAACGAAAUGGCGUGACCUUGGAGCUAAACUCAUAGGAGGAUGUUGCAGGACUACACCUUCCACCAUUAAAGCUAUCUCCAAAGAUUUGAAAAGAAGAUGAUUUUUCUUCUGGGAGAAGAAGAUUGAAUCUUCUUUCAACUUGUUAACUAGCUUUACCAUUGUUAGGGCUACAUUUAUCUGUGUUCUGUUGUUUUCUUGUUGUUCACGUUUCCUUUGUUGUCUGAUAUGUAUCCGCAAACUAGGCCUUGGGCUUUUUCAAUGUAAUGGCCCAGAAAGUGUUUUCUUUAUAAAAAAUUACCCGAUUUAAAUCUUUAAUACCCAGCAGAAUAAUUUAUUGAAUAUAGUUUCAAAACAUUUAAAUUGUUUACUGUUGGUUUAAAUUUUGUAUAUAGGUACAGUUGAUAGGAAAUGUGUUCUAGUGUCCCAUUUAUGUUGUAAAUAUUUUUGUUUCACAUAAUUAGAGUUACUAUUAGAAAAAAAAUCAGAAACAUAAUUCCUUUUCUUUUUUGUCGAAAAAUUCCUUAAAUAUUGUAUGUAGAUAGUUUCUUUGAUGAAGUUCAUCAUAUUUAUUGUUCUCUAAGGGUUUUAUGGCUUAUAAACAAUAAACAUUGUAUCUAUUCUUUUAUUUAUUAUUACCAAAAAGAAAGAAAAAAGAUCUUCUGAUCCACCAAAAUUCUAGACUUUCAUAAAAUAAAUUAUGUGGGUACCAAACGAUUCAUGUUUGUUGUACAUCAAGAUUUAAAAGCAAAAAAACAAACAGACAAACAAAUUAUUAACCGUACAUCAUGUGAAAACAAAAGAUCUUAACGUUUUAGGUAAGACAAAUACAAUACUUACAUAAAAUGUCGAGAUAUCGACCGACUUUAUACCCUUUGUUAGUAGUUCAAGGAAAUAAUAUUGUAGUCGUACAUUAGCCAAUGUGUUAAUAAACAAGUAAUUAAACCAUAUAUUUUGUCUCGUAUAUGUAUAAGGUUACACGUUACAGUGUCAUCUUAUUAUUAUUUUUAAGGUCAAUUAAUUUAAACGGAUAUAUAAAAAAUUAAACCUAAAAAACUUAGAUCAUCAUACAAAAUAUUGUGGCUGACACCAUAUUAUGAAUACCAAAAAACAUAAGUUAAUAGCUAGUAUUAUCUUUAUUGUCAAAACGUAAUUUUUGCACAUUUGGAUAAUACAUUGUUUUGCAAAUCUGUUUAUUAAUUAUUUUUUCUUGAUCAUUCAUAGCACAUAUAAAAAUAAUUAAAAAAUAAUUUUUUUUUAAAUAUAUGUGAAGAAACUCUAAACACCAAAAUUAUUAGGAACCGAGAAAAUAAUAUUUACUAAUUUAAUUCAAAAAGAAAACAUCUACUAAUCUAGUGAAAAUAAUAAAAAAGAGAUAUUCAAAGAGAUUCUAAAAUCCAAACAGAAAGGAACAAAGAGAAGACACGAAAACCCCUUCGGCGCAUAUUACGUGGCGCUUCACACAUUGGUUACUACUCUGUCUCUCAUAAAACACCCAAAUUCGAGACCUCUUUUUCCUAAACUCUUAUUCUACAAACUUUUUUUUUAUUUAGCUUCAAAUUUUUUAUAUAUAAAUGCUUGACUUCGUAAUUGAUUACUAGAAUACAAUCAAGUGGCAAUAAGAUGGAAGAAUUUCGAAAACUGCAAGUCCUAGAUAACAAAAUGAAUCCAUAGAACUUGUUUUGACCCAUGUUUUAAGGAAACGGUAGGAACUUAUUACUAGAAAAUUAUGUAUUUUUAAUUUCUAAAACCAUUAUAAACACUUUCACUAAAAAAUUGUACAUUAGAAAGGACCAUAAGAAUACUAGUAUUUGUUUUUGGAAUGCAUCAUAUAUCAGUUCUAAAACGUUAAAAACAAAAAAUCUUUCAUUAUUCUUUGACUGUUUCUACAUUUUUUUAUUACUCUUGGAUUUCAAUUUAAACAUAUUUACAAUACUCUUUCUAUUUCAAAUUAAAUGUUGUUUUGUAUCCUAAAUUUUAAUUUAAAAUACGUAUCGUUCCAUAUUUUCUAAUCCAGAUUCUGAUAAAAUUACAUUUUAUUCUUAUUAAAUGUUACUAGUAAUAAAGGUUAACACAAAUAUUUAGUUUUUUUUAAUAUAUAUGUCAAAACUUUAAACGACACUUAUAUAUAAACAGAAAAAUAAAUUUUAUGUAUAUAAAUAAUAUUCUUUCGACUUGGUUCUUCGGACCUUAAUUUCAUCUAACUACAAAGUUAUUGAUAAAAAAAAGUAUUACUCCCUCCGUUUCAUAAAGAGAGUCGUUUUAAAGUUUUAUUUUUGUUUCACAAAGAGAGUCGUUUUAGGUUUUCAAUACAAAAUUUAAUGAUUUUUAUGUUUUAUGACUAUUAGUAUUCUGCAUAUUGUCUUACUAUUGGGCAGAUUAUGUUUAGGUAUAUAGUUAAUGAUGUUUUUGUUUAAAAAACAAAAAAUUUAAUGUUUUCUUAAUCUGUGUGCAAAACUCUAAAAUGACACACUUUGUAAAACAGAGUAUUAUUUUCAAUCAAAUUUCGUACUAAGCUUUUAGUAGGUCACGUUGAUUUCAGUUUUACUUAUUCCCAUGCAUGAAGCUUUUAAUUUGGUCAUUGCAAUCGAUUACAAGUUGUCUCCGUUUGAUUUUAUUAAAGAAUUGGUACAAUGGAGUUAGUAUUAUAUUUUAAGUAUACAAGAAUAAUUCCAAAACGCUACCGUCCAUAACAUUUCUUUUAUUUAAUCAUUUCGUGAUUGUUUAAAAAAAAUCUCAGAUGUCUCGUGUUCACUAAACUUUUCACUAGUCCGCAAAUCCCAAUGGUUAUUAAACCUUCUUUAAUAGUAUUUGCCAUAAUAUACCUAAGCUAAUCAAACCCUUUCACAAAAGAAAUAUCCUAAGUUAAUCAUCAAUUUAUCGAUCGAAGCUUAUCUGUGAACUGUGAUCGCUAGAGAAAUGUAUGCAAUGAAAUUGAUUUUGAUCUUUACGAAUAGAAGAUUCAAUGCCAUGAUGAUUAAUUUAACACGUAAAGCUUUGUAUUUCUCUUUAUCCGGUUUACAAAGUAUCAUCAUAUAUAUACAAAUAUGCUCAUGUUUAUUACACCAAAUUAUAUAUUUGGUCGAGAAGUAAACUAAAAUUUUGGUUUCAAAAUUUACACUGGAAUUAUCGAACAGCAUUUUAACAAAACAGAAAAAACUCUAAAACCUAAAACAUUUGUAUUCGUUUAGAAAGUUUAUAAACCGGUCUCCUUAUUAAUUAGACAAAUUUGACUCUAGAGCCUUAGGUUGUGGAAAUAGGAAAAGCUUUUGGAUUUGUCAGUGGCAAAAGCAAACACACUUUUAUGACUCAUAUAGUCAUAUAAAUACUUACGGUCAACACUCAACACCACUAUUCCUACUAGAAAGUCAAAUAAUCCGACGGUGGUUAAAAACUCCCACCAUGCACAAUUUUUCAUUUUGCUCUUCAAAUUUUAUAGCCGUGGUUUUAGUUUUGAUUGUUGUUACAAAUAAUUGCAUCAGUAACCUAUUUUUUUGAAGUUAAAUUCCCUGGGCCAUGCAAUAGAAUAUUUAACUUGAGUAUAUGAUCUAUGAAUAUUAAAUAUAUAUAAUCUCCCGGUUUGGUGAAAAUAAAAGAAUGUACAAAAACAUAUUAAAUCACACAAACAUUCUAUUGACCAAAAGUAAAACCAUCUCUCUAUAUAUCCAUGUAUAUAUUUCUAUGAACAUUAAUCUAUGAGUGUAUAAUUUGGAACAUAGUUUCAAUCAAUGAUAUUUAUAUACUUUUAAUUUGAUUCGCUGCUAAUGAAUGUGUUAUAUCAUCAGAAAUGACAAGUUACCAAGAAGAAAUGAUCAGGAUUUUUAUUUUAAAACCAGGACUCUGUCGUCUAAUAAACAACAAUUAUUAGGGGUGAUACUCGUCAUCUUAUGCAGAUAUCAAAAUGCAGAAAAGCAAUUAUAAAAUUAUAUAAACUAUAACAUUUCCUAGGAAAAGGAUUAUAUAUGAAAAGGUUAUAGAUCAGUGAUUAAAAUAUCCAAAAUACCCUCGUUUUUCCCUUAUAUUAUCGAGAAAAACGUAGGUAUUUUGGGUAAAAUACACUAGUUGAUUGAUCAUUAACAUAAACAAGAGAAGAAAAUAUAAAUAAAAAUGAAAAAUAAAAACAUCAAGAAACUGCUUCUACUAGUUGUGCAGGGGAUCUGGACAACUUGGUACUAUUCUCUUACUCUCACUGAUCCCUUUUCCGACAAAAGAAUCCACCGGUGGAAAUUUCCCGGCGCCGAAGUACUUCUUCACUAGAUCUUCUUGUCUCUUAACCGGAGCCGGAGUUACUGGAAAUACCCGAAUUGCCCCUACCCGUGAAUAUACACAGAAGAGUUGGAGUAGAGGAGAAAGCAAGAUCACCAUUAGAAGAGUAGUAGUCAAAGAGCUUCUCCAUUCUCGAGCAUGAGUCAUAUCCCAAACCUAAACCCUAACCAUAAAGUCGUCUUCUUGAUUAAACCCUAAUCAUCGAUUCUGUAUGUCUUCUCUUCUCUGGGUUAGAUCUACCUCCUAUGACUAUUUCUGAAGUUGAGAGAGAGAGGUAAAGAGAGAGAGAGAGAUUGAAGUUUUGUUUUGUGAGAAGAAGAGUGGCUUUCAUGCAAAUUUUGAAUGGCCCACGUGAAUGGUUAUAUAUAAAUACAAGACAAGAUCUGAGAAUUGAUUAAUUUCGAUUUUUUUUUGUUCGUUUCAUUACUAGUACAUUAUUUCACAUAUCUAAUUAUGAUAAAUAGUGGUAUAGUACUAUUAUUGGUCCAUAGUUUUGGUGUUCAAUUGUGUACAUACAGUAUUAUUUAAGCUGUACUAGCAUUAUUUAAAAUAGUUUUGUCUCUUAUUAUGGAAUUGUCAAGAAUUACAUAUAUUGAUUUAUAAUUUAUAUAUAGAUUUUUUAGAUCUACGGAAAACAUAACUUUUAAGAAAUCAAUAAAUGCAUCACCCACCAACGUACUCACCCAUAUUUGGUAUGAAUUUCAAUUUGUUGUCGUUUUUGAGUUGCUUUAUACAUAGAUGUAGAAUAGGUUUACUUUAGAACAUUGAUGUAAUAAUUAAGUGCAUAACUUAUAUAUAUAUAUAUAUCACACGAAACUGUGAAUUUAAUGGGUUUCAAUGUGGAUCACUGGAUCUUAUGUUAAAGAAAAAACGUCACCAUUCCUUCUUUGAAAAAAAUAAAAUAGUGUCAUGCAUCAUUCUUGACAUACAUGACUUAAACAGUUAAGGCCGGUAAGUGGCUAUGGAUAGAGAAUAUAUUUUAAAAUUGAUAAACAUUUGUGUGAAUGGAAUUUUUACAUGAGAUUUCUGCUAUUCAACUACAUACAUACUAGGUGUUACAAAGAUUAAAAUAUCCAACAAAGAAAACUAUAGUAUUUUAUAAUGUAAGCGUCUUGUAUAUAUCUUGAGAAAAUGUGAAGAUAGUAGUGUGACGUGAGCAAAUAGUGAUUACGUUUGGUUUUGUCCCAAUACAACACAAAAAUGGUUCGUUUGGAUGUUUGAGAUGAGUUUGGAAAAAGGGUGUCGUUUCAUUAACUGCACUUUGCCGUUUUGUGUUUGUUUGUUCUCUUUAAUUUCGUCUCUUCUUCUUGCUUUCUUUCGCAUCUUCCUCUUCGUGUCAGAAUUAUGCAAGAUCCCAUCAUCAUUAUUAUUAUGUGACUCCAAAAUCUCUUUUUUUUUUGUAAUCCUUCAGAUAUAAGGAAUUAUAUAAUUAUGGAUAUCAUAAGAAAUCUGUGAUUAAAGACAUAUAUGUUUGACAAUGAUUAUUAAUAAUCUAUGCGAAUGAAGAAAAAACAGAAUGAAAUAAUUCCUAUUAUAUAUGUUGGAUUAGUCGAUAAUUUGGCAAAUUGGUUGUCCGAAGAUAAAAAAUGAUACUUACUUUCAAAAAAGAAUAUUAUUUCAAAACAACACUUAAUUUAAAAUAAGAUAGAAUAUUAUUUUUAUUCACUGUUAAUAUGCUAGCUAUUACUUUUUUCCAUGUUAAUAUUCUCUUCAGAUUAAGUCUUUUCGUCUAUAAAUUUGUGUAUAUAUAUAUAUAUAUAUAAAUAAAUCCUCAGUUUCAUUUUUAUUAUACUAGUGAAAGAAACUCUCUUUUUAUUUUAUAGGGAUGUGUCGUGUGUGUAUAAAUAUAUUUGGUUUAAUUAAUUGAUAAAUAAUAAAUAAAUUGGUACAAAAUCUCAAAAAGUCCCACAUCGGAAAACGUGAAGCAAAACAAGUUAUUUAUAUAUGGAGAGAGAGGUAACAAUGUUCGCUGAGCUCAGUAACGAGAGCUUGUGACUCAAGUGAGGGCAAAUAUGUAGUUGGGACUUUGGUUCGGUACAAGGGGUCGGGUUCAGGCUGGGUUUUCACUGACUCGCCCAAUCCAAGCCAGGAGCUGUGCUACGUGGUUUGAGCGAAGGUUCGGAUCUCGUGGCUCUUAAAGUGGAGGGUAUUGCGUGAGGCUGGUUUCACAGAGCAGCGAAUACCUCCCGCUUCCGGCAGUGUAUGGUUAACGAGUCGGAUCCGCUUGGGCCCAAUAUGAUUUCAUGGGCCGAUCUCAAUUGGACCAAUUAUUUUUAAAAUUUUCAUUUUAUAUUAAAAACCAAUUUUUUCCUUUACGAUCCUCCAAAUUUCCAAUAACAAUUGUAGGUGAAACUCAACAAAUCAAAAGACUCAACAAUUGCUUCACUAAUAAAAACUUCAUAAUUCAAUUCCAAACAUAAAGAAGUCUUAAUUUUAUAUGUAGAACUGGUGGAUUGUGGAACAAACUAACCAAGAGGAUAUGAAGUAGAUAAUGGAUCAAGAUCGGUCAAUGAUUCAUUCGAGAGAAGGAAAAAGAAAGAUCCAACUCUAUAACAAGUAGCAACAUCAAAGUUCUUAAAUGUAAUACUUAGUUUUGAAUAUUGGAUCUUGAAUAGUUUUUCCCUGCCAUGAAGAAAUGAAAAAGCUUGAAACCUCAUCGCAUUCACUCAUGGAUUACAUAUAAACAGUGUUCAAGAAAGCGCUAGGCGCUAAGCGAGCGGUGACCCAGUGCCUAGCGCCUAGAACGCCUAAUCGGGGCCUAGACGAUUUUUUAUGCGGUUUAGACGUUUAUAACAUAAAACAUUAUCAAUAUGAUAUUAUAUAUAAAAGUUAUAUAAAAUAUCUAUAUAAAACUAAAAAUUAUGACAUUAUAAAUAAAAAUUAGAUAAAAUAUUUAUUUAUAUUUAUAUUAAACAAUAUAUGAAUAUUUAUAACUAUAUAUAUAAAUAAAACUCUAAUUGAAAUUGAAAAAAUACAUUAAACAAGAUCUAUGUAAUUUUAGGCGGUCAAGGCGGUUAUCUAGGCGUCGGAUGAGAGCCUAGCGCCUAGUCGACCGCCUAGACCGCUUUUUAGAACACUGCAUAUAAAUUGAUUUAUAUUAGGACUAUGAAAUAAGCAUAACAAGUUUCAAGAUAAAUCCAAGAAUAUCAAAUUACCAUUUCUCAAUAAAUCCCUUCGCUUCCCCCAUUUUUUCGAUUGAGAGAGAUGAGCAGAGAAAUGAGUGAGACAGAGAGACUCUGCCUUUUACUUGGAUUGUAGGCUUCCACCUAAAAACCAAACCAAAACAUAACAAACCAAAACCACAAUUAUCAAAUUUGAAUUCGAACCGAAUUUUGAUAUACCAAAAAAACCAAAUUAUUUUAAGUGACUUUGAAUAUUCUACAAUCAAAGGGAAUCAACCAAAUUUGAAAUAAAUUAAUAUUUUUUUUAAAAAAAAGAUAUAGAAAAAUAUAUUUUUAAUUACUAAACAAUAAUAUUUUCUAUUUACUUAAUAAAUAUUUAAAACUAUUUUGGUAAGAUUUCUAUUUUAAAUGCUACUUCUCAAAUUUCUAUAAAUAUUUAAUGUAUUUUUUUCAAAAUUCUCCAAAUAGUAUUUGUAUACAUCAUUUUUCUUUCAGCAACAUUGUGACAAUUAUUUAAUCUACUAAAAAGUUUUAAUUUAAAUAAUUUGUAUGAAUUAUGAACUAAUAUCACUACUUUUUUCAAAAUAAAUAAUACAAGCCUAAUAAAUUCAAGAUUCAUAAAAAAAUAGUCAAAAUUUAACUUUAAAAUCAGAAGAAAAUAAAAACACAAGACGUAAUUCAUUAUUAGAAAGAAACAUGUAGAUAAAAUGUCGACACGAAACUUUGUAACGUUAUAUAAUAAUAUCUCUAGCUGUUUCAUUGUCUUUUCUUCAAAUCCUUUUCUAAUUUCAUUUUUUCCUUAACAAAAUUAAUUAUUGAUUUCCUAAAUUAUUUAUAUAUCUUGCAAAAAAAAAAUUAGUAAAGUAAAGUAGCCGCCUCAUCCUCGUCGUCUCUCUCACCUCGUUAGCUCUCUCGAUGAGGAGCCCGAUUUAGGGUUUCCUCCAUUGAUUAUAUCAGUUCACCAUCAACCAUCGCCACCAAAGCUCUCUCAAGAAUCUUUCGGUGAUCACAUCUUCUUUUUCUUACUCUCUCUUCAUUUCGAGUUUUAGGGUUUUCUCCAACAUUGGCGUUUAUGAUUCUCACUUCUUUCGGUUGUAUGAAUCUGUAUUGAUCUGGGUUUUUCUUUAAUCGAACUAUUAGAUGAUUCGAUUUGAUAAAGUUUUAAACUUUCGUUUGCUUAGGAUCUCUUGACUAGACUUUUCGUGCUUCUAUUCUCAACCCGAUUAUGCUAUGAACUCCGUUUUUUUGUGCGAUUGCGGAUUUGUAUAUAUGACUAUGAAACUGUGUAUAUAGAUCUAUAAAGUUCUUCCUUCAGGCAUGUCAAAUCUCUGGAUUGUUGUUAUUAGCAAAUGCAAAUUUCAGUUUGAUGUUGCUUAUGAGAAGGUUACUUAUUAUUGCAGGUUUAGGUCACUUUGUUUGGAUUAUAACAAGGGAAGUUAGAUAGAUUGUUGUUAGAUCUAGAACAUGCCGAAAGAGAGGAAAGACCGGUCGGUAUCUCUUGAUAAGUAUAGACGAUCGCCACUGUGUUGUGAGUCUAGCUGUGGUUUGAAGCCGAGUGAGAAACAAGUUAAGGAAUGGGAAGAGGCUCGUUGUCCUGUUUGUAUGGAACAUCCUCACAAUGGGAUUCUUCUCAUUUGUUCUUCUUAUGAAAACGGUUGUCGACCUUACAUGUGCGAUACUAGCCAUCGGCAUUCUAACUGUUUUGAUCAGUUCCGCAAAGCUUCUAAAGAGAAACCGUCUUUGUCUUUACUUCAUGAGGAAGAGGAAAGUAAUGAACCAACUGAGAUGGAAGAUGUAGCUUCUGACUCAACUGCUGUAAAUCUAAGAGGAGAAGCUGCAUCUGAGUCAACAGAUGUGAGUUUAAGAGAAGGUGAGAGAGGAGAAGAAGAAGAAGAAGGUGAGAGAGGAGAAGAAGAAGUAGUAGAAGAAGAAGGAAUUGUAGCAACAGAGGAAGACCAAGAAAAAAACAAACCGCCGAAGCUUACUUGCCCGUUAUGCCGUGGACAUAUAAAAGAAUGGGUAGUUGUUGAAGCAGCUCGAUAUUUCAUGAACUCAAAACAUAGAAGCUGUUCGUCCGAGACUUGUGAUUUCAGCGGAACCUAUUCCGAUUUGAGAAAGCACGCAAGGCUUCUGCAUCCAGGAGUUAGGCCAUCAGAAGCAGAUCCAGAGAGACAGAGAAGCUGGAGGAGGCUAGAAAGGCAGAGAGAUUUAGGGGAUUUAAUUAGCACACUCAAUUCUUCUUUUGGAGGAGAAGAAAGAAGUAACGACGAUGGGAUUCUAUUUGAUGGUAGCUUGCUUACAGUGAUCUUUCUCAUCCGCGUGUUUAGACCAGAGUCGAGUGGCUCAAGGAGUAGUAGUAGUAGCUGGUCUGGUGCAUCUAGAGCUAGGUCACAGAUAGGUGGGAGAAGAAGGCCACAUAGACCUCCAGGGCUUUGGGGAGAGAGCUAUGAAGGUAAUACAGGAACAUCAUCUAGAGAUGAGGAGAAUAAUAAUCAAUCUUCUGAUGAACAAGAGUCUGGAACUCGGAGACGACGUCGUUCUAGGAGAAGAGCUAUCAUUGAUGAUGACGAUGAUGAUGAUGAAGAAGAAGAACAGUGAUCCUACAAUUUGGUCUUUGGAGUUUAUGUAAAGAAUAUGGGGGAAACUUAGUAGUAAUAACCCCACUUCUGAAACCCUAUUCUGUAAAAUUGGAGAUUGAAAAAAAAAGUUUCUACUAUUGAGAGACAAAAUGUUCAAUUAUUCAUACCGUUUUACAAUUUUUUUUUAAUAACGACUCUUUUAAAUAAGAAAAUGUAUAAUCAUCUCUCGACCAUACAAAAAGGAGUAAACGGAAUUUGAAAUUAAAAAGAGCUAGAAAGUAAAGUAAUUUAAGCAGAAGCUGCUGGCUCUGAAGUUGCUUCUGCUGCUGCAGCUCUCUUCUUGGCAAAGUAUUCAUCUGCUCGUGCUUGGUUCUUUGCAACCGAUGGCUUCACCCAUUUCUUUCUUCCGGGCAACACAGUGAGUGUACAUCCUGAAGCUUCAAGCUUCUCUUUUGCUUGUGUUGAGAAGGCGCGAGCUUUGAAGGUGAGCUUCAUGCUUAGUUCUCCGGUACCCAGAAUCUGAAAUCCAAGACCAAUCAAAGCGUUUAAAUAGAGAAAAAGAUGAAUACAUGAUUGAAAAAAGUAGGAUCGAAAGAAGCAAUACAGUUUGGAAACUAACCUUUAAAGGGAGUUUCCUUUCCCUCCCUGAAGGAUUGAUCAAACCCUUUUGCUUCAAUGUCUCCAAUGACACUUCAUCGCCCUCCUGAAACCCAGCUGUUUCGAUGUCUUUGAGAUUAACCGGUAAGUAUUUGGGUAAUCCUGAACGCAUACCUGUUUAAAGAACACAGCAACGCAAUGAAUGCAUCAGAAAAGUAAAGAGGGUAUGGAUCCAUGAAAUAUCUCUAUUCACUAACUACAAUCUUGAUCCUUAAUUCUCAAUUCUUGCCUUGAAGCACUAAGACUCUCUUAACAUUGCCACAUAAAGAAUCUAUGGAACAAAUCUGCCCUAACUAAAUAAACUGAAAGAAGCAUCACCAAAUUUAAACAGAGCAUUUUGGAUGAGACAUUUCAUCGAACACUUAGCCUACACAAAACUUCGAUGAUUCAGAUUAUAUCAAACAAAAGAAACUUUUUACCUCCGGCGAUUCCUCUAAGUUUGGGAAGACGACGAUAAAGAGCAGUUUGACCUCCUUCAAAGCCUCUCAUAAUCCCAGGACCCGAUCUUGAUUUCUGACCUCUCAUACCAAAACCACAACUUGCUCCUUGUCCUGCAGAUAUACCUCUACCUUUUCUCUUCUGCCUCUUUCUAGAACCUGGUUGUGGUCCAAGAUUAUCCAAACGGAAUCUCUCCGGAGCUACAACUUCCGACGUCGCCGCUGCUUGACUAACCACAACAAGUGGUCUCGCAGAUUGUUGUUGCUUUCUCGUUUUAAGCUUUUGGUUGAGUUUUAGAGACAGAAUCUGACUUGGGUUUGCUCCCAAAACGCUUACAUUUCCCUGUAGACAUUUCAAAUUCAGAUUUAGUAGCGAGUGUGUGUUUAAAUUGACAUUCGUAGAAGAAUGAGAGAUUACCUUGAAUGAAGUAGAAGGAAAGUGGAGACGGUAACAACGGUGGGAGGUGAGAGGAUUUGAUGAGAUUGAGAGUGGAGUAGCCAUGGUCACAGGGAACAACAGAUGAAAAAAGCUUCAAGGAUAAGGAUAGAGAGAGAGAACUUUUCUUGAGAAACUUAAGAGCUAAACGACACCGUUUUAAAAGCAUAAACACUCAAUUGUUUAUUGGGCCUUUUCGUUUAGGCCCUUUAGUCUUGUGGAGAAUUUCAAUUUGAAUUACUUGGUCCGAGUUUUGGAUAUUAAAAAAGAGUCGUUUUACUCGUUCGUAUAUUUGCUUUUUUUAUGUUUAAACAUAAGAGAUUACAAACAACAUAUGGUAUUGGGAUGGUUGAGGAUCCGAAUCUUAAGACGUAAAUUUGCAGAUGUUUUUAGUUCGAUUUUACUUUAGACAAAGUCGUUAUACAUGUAGCCACUUGAACUCUGCAAGUCAUGCGGACGUUAGCGGAGAUCGUGGAGAUCGAAAAUUGUCUUUUCUAAAUCGUUUUAUAAAGUUCUCUCUGUUUUCAAAUCGGGAUUUCGCGGUCCUACAUAAAUUAGUCGGGGUGAUCCGGACACCGAUGCCAAUAAAAGAAAAGAUAAGAAAUUAUUACUUACACUAACUUUAUAUAUACAUAAACAUGAAAGUUUUAUUUACACAUAACACAUAAUUAUAAGUUCAACUACAACCCCAAAUCAUAAUAAUCAUUACACAAUCUCAACCACAGAGAAAACUAUAUAUAUAUAUAUUAGCAUUUUGUUACUUCCUCUUUAAUCUUAUAUAUUAGCAUUUUGUUACUUCCUCUUUAAUCUUUGCUUAGUGUUUUCGUCACGACAAGAAGAGAACAAUCUGUAUUACGUGUACACCUGCAUUUUAUUAAAAGAUGUUCAUUAUCACAACUUUUUCGUACACUCAUUAAUUGAAUAAAAAAUAAUUUGAAAUAUUCAUAUGAUUUGAACUCAUGAUUUUUCUUACUUUUUGAGAUUUUGAGUUUGUUGAUCGUUCGUAACUAUUAAAUGGAUAUUUUGAUCUUGAAUUAUCUUGCGGAUUAGAUCUUUAGGAUCUCCAACAUCUGUAAACGUCUCUGCUUUAAUCUGUUUUCGACAUGAUUAUGAGACUAAAUAUUAAAACAAAUAGUUGUUAUGAAAAUAACUUAUUAUUAAAUGAUUUAGUCAAGAGAUUACCCCAUGAUUUAAACAUAUCUCCUUGGCUUUCUCUAAUAUACCCAAAGCAAUUUUCAUAUUCUUUUCUUGAGCCAAUCUUAUGAGUUCUGAAUCUGCAAAACACACAAGAACAUAAAUAAAACCUAAUGAAUUUUCAACAAUAUAGAUUUUUUUUGAAAUUUUUUAAGAAUUAAUCGAGAAAACGACUUACUAGGUGAAAAUGGAUAGAAAAUUUGAGCAAAACCGACUGAUGAAGAAAGUACGGUAGGAGGAGUGAAGGAAUUUUGUGGCUGUGUUGCAAAGAGAAAAACUUUGGAGCUCUCAAUGGUAUCUUUCUGGUUUUCAAGGGCCCAAAUGAGUAAAUCAUAACUUGAAUUACUCUCGUCAAUAAUCACCAUAACAUUCUUCAUCUUCUCUAUUGUUUCUUCUUCUACGUUAUUCUUCAAGCUUGUGCUAAAACCUCUUGUCAAUGUCCAACUUUAUAGUAUAUUUGGAAAUGGAUUAACAUGUCAAAGAAAGAGAUAUAAAAAUAAAAAUCGUAGGUGAUUGGGUAAUUGAAAGGCAUGGUUUAACGACUUCCUUCUUCAUUCUCCUCAUUUACAUACUAAAAUAUAAUUAUACAUACAAAUAACAGAAAUACCCUAAAAUAAAUACCACACUAUUAAAUUUUAUUCCAAAAAUAUCAUUAGUAGUUUAUUUUUCCAAUAAUACAACACUACAUAUAAUAUAAUAUUAAGGGGAUAUUGUUGGUAUGUGAUUUAAAAAGAGUUUUAGUGACUUAAAAUGAUAUGUAGAAUAUGUUGUUAUUCAAUCAAAAUUUUUAAAACAUUUGUUAAAAUUUGGUGUUAUUAGUUUAAGGUUUGUAAAAAAGUAAUCUAAAAUCUUCAUAAAUCUGGAUAUUGGAUUCAUACUUUAAUAAAGUCAAUAAAAGAUUUGUAUUAUUCAAUUAAAACAAAAUAAUCUAUGAUUGUUAAUGAAUUAAAUUAUUAUGUUAUUAGUUUAAUUAUGACUUUCUACACUUUUCUUCAUAAAAUAAAGUCGUGAAAAAUAUCAUCAAAAUAAAGAGAUUGUUGGGAAAUUUUUACAAGAUUAUGAAUAACUAAUCAACAAGAUUAUAGAAAACUCUCUAACAAUAGUUUAGAAUCUUUCAUUUGUUUACUUCAUAUGAUUUUAUUAAAGUCAUCAAAAUUUCUUGUAAAUUAAGAACCAAUAACACUUUCUAAACUUGGGUGUAGUGUGUGCCACAAUAGUAUUGGAAACUCGUUAUAGCCUCAAAUUCAAUCCCACAAUUUGCAAAUUCUAUGAAUGUGUCAGUUCGGUUUUGGUUCAGAUGCUUAACUCGUGAUGAAUUUGUAGAAAACUUGUUACGGAAAAAUUCAAAAGACUAAUCAGAGGCUUAUUCAAAUCCGGAUAGAGACAAUGCUAAGUCUAAAAAAUUAGCAUUAUAUUAAAAAAUAAAAAAACAAUCGAAUAAUAUGAUUUCAUUCUACAACAGAUCACCAAUUCUCAAUUGAAAUAUUCCAUUAAAAUGGUCUUAGUGGACGGUGUUUGGUAAUUGCCGGAUACACGCCAUUGAUGACAUAAAACAUUAUUCUCUUUGUCGGAGAUUUUUAAUCAAAUCAAAUAUUAUUAGAGAGUUGGUAAAAGAAAAAGACACAAUUAGCUUAACGGGCUAAAAAAAGUUUAGUUAAUGGGCCUAAAGGACACUUAUCAAGCCCAUUAUAACCUCUGCAUCUUCUUCUACCUCUGAAUCCAAAACCCUAGCGACUUUUUGUUUCUCUCUCGAGACGCUCUGCUAAAGCUUCUUCGAUUGUGAUCUAAGGUACUCGAUUAUUCUCUUUUUUCCAUUGUAGUUCUCAUAUAGAGCCGUAUGAGUUUUGGGUUUAAACGGAUUUAAUAAAGUCUCGAACUUUCGAUUCUGAGUUUGAUUUUGAAGUUAUAGUAUGACUCUUAAAGUUUUAGAUGAAAAUAAUGGAGAAAUUGAGUUUAAAGAUGGUUACUUUAACUCAUCUGAUGAGCAAGUAUUAGUUUGUUGUUGUAUGAUGCAUUAAAGUCUCUUAAUCUUCUUUUACCAAUUGAGACAUUAUUGUAAAGAAGAGUUAUGUUAUAGGUUUUAUAAUGGAGAAAUCUCGAGAAAGUGGUUUCUUGUUCUGUAACUGGUGUGGGACGAUGCUUGUCUUGAAAUCAACUAAGUAUGCAGAGUGUCCAUUAUGUAAAACAACGCGAAAUGCAAAAGGUAUCAGAAUCUAAACAGUUUUGUUUCUUGGUUGGUUCAAUCUUAUUGUUGUGCUUUUAUCGUCAUUGUUUUACAGAGAUUAUCAACAAGGACAUAGCUUACACAGUUACUGCUGAGGUAUGUUUUUGCUGCAUCAUACAUAUAAUCAAUCGUAUUUGGUUUCGGUUUCAUGGAUAAGCGAAAGAUCUCUCUGCUCUUGAUUUGUGUUUGUCCAUUGUUGUUAGUCUUAUGAACACAGUGUAAAAAUACCAGAUCCUUGCUAUGUAAUUAGUUUCAGACCUGAAAAUGGAGACUGUUUUUGUUAUUCUUGCAAGAAUAUUUCAUCAUGAUCAAUUCCGAGUUAGUAUAUAUAACUCAUGAUCAUUGCUUUUUUUGUAGGAUAUCAGAAGAGAACUAGGAAUAUCAUUGUUUGGUGAAAAAACGCAGGAAGAGGCUGAGCUACCAAAGGUUAGUAAUAACAAAACAGAUUUUUACGCGUUUUUCCUCAGUCCAUGACCUGUGAUUUUGAUGAUACUUGUUGUCUUUGCAGAUCAAAAAGGCGUGCGAGAAAUGCCAGCACCCGGAGCUUGUAUACACGACCAGACAGGUAUAAUUCUCAACCUUUAUGAUUGUGUGGUUUCAAGUUCUUGGCUUCUUGUUUCAAUUUCAAAGUAUUAUGUUUCAUUGGAUUUGCAGACGAGAUCAGCUGACGAAGGACAGACAACAUAUUACACUUGCCCCAAUUGUGCUCAUAGAUUCACAGAAGGUUGAUGUUAUAAUGAUCUCCAGCAUGUGAUUCGGAUUCACCAAGCAUACCAGUUUUGUUCUUACAUUCGAUGUUGCAAAUUCAAUGAUUCAGUGCCAUCAUUAGAACCUUAUGUAUAUGUCACCAACUCAAAAUUUUCAAUGUCAUCAUCAGAAAUAGCUGCAACUGUAAUACAAGUUUUCUUUAAUUUUACUUAUUUUAAGUAGUGAAAUAGAUAUAAUAAAAUAUUAAAAUCCUUUAUAUACGAAAAGAAUAUCCAAAGAAGCACCAGAGGUCCAGAGCAUAACUUGUAUAAGCACGCUCACUAAAUUUACACAGACACGUCAAAAACUAAUCUUAAUCCAACGGCUACAAAGCCUACGAUGAUUUGUUGACCAUCUUAAAUGCACCGUACAUUACAUACACCUAACCACACCAAAUCAUUUCCACCGCUCAGUUUAAAAACAGAACCUGUUUAGGAGCAAGUUUCGAAACAGAACCAUGGAAACGGCGUUGAGUCCUUCUUCUUCUCCGGCGACUCUUCCGUCGUUCCUCCUCCUCUUCCUCUUCGUAUACAUCGUCGGAUAUUUCCUUAUCUUCCGUUCAUGGAAAUCAUCAUCACACUUAGGCGCUAGCUGCUUAAUGUCACUCUUCCACGGCACUCCCGCCGUUAUAAUGGCUUCUCACGCGCUACUCACAACUACACGCGCCUCCGUACCCUCAUUCGCUUCUCCCAACACUGCCGUGGAAUCAACCGUACUCGAUUUCAGCAUGGCUUAUUUCACCGUUGAUCUCCUCCAUUACCUAAUCUUCCUCCCUAACGACUUCAUCUUCAUCCUCCACCACAUUGCGACGCUAUACGUUUUCGCUACGUGUCGAUUCUCUGUCGGUCACGGAGCUCACGCGCUUCUCAUUCUCUUGAUCCUCGCGGAGGCGACGAGCGCGUGUCAGAACGUGUGGACGAUCGCCGGGUAUAGAAAACACGACGUCGUUUUAGCGAAGAGAGUGAGAGAGGUUUUGUCUCCGCCGUUUUACUUGUUUUACACUGUGGUUCGUGGUUUGGCUGGUCCGGUGGCUUUGUAUGAUAUGGCGGCGUUUUACGGUAGUGGUGCGGCGGAGGGAGUUAUUCCACGGUGGGCUUGGUUAUCGUGGCUUGUUGUGAUUGGUUUUGCUAUUUUUGUUAGUGUUUUGUGGGUUUUACGUAAUUGGGUUGAUUGGUUUAGAGAGAAAAACUUUAGCAAGAAAUAUAAGUGAACUGAUUAAUAUUUUUCCUUUUCGAACAAAAGGAGAAAAUUGUUUGAUUGAUAUAAAUGUAGAUUUUUAGCAAAGUUCAUAUAAAUUUAUUUGAUUGUAUUUGUAUAAUGUACUAUUAACAAUAUUGUACUUUUAUGUGAAUCUAAAUCUUAUUGUUAUUCACUUCUUUGUAUCGUUUUUUUUUUUUUACCAAACUGUAUAUGUGAAUCUUAUGUAAACAUAAAUGAAAUUACUUUUUCUUUUAGAGAAGGAGAAAAUUAUUUGAUUUAUAGAAGUAUAGAAUUAAAUAUAAUUUAUAUAAAAAGUAUAUAAAUAAAUAGGAGUGUUCAUAAAAUUUAUGGAUCUAAAUCUUGUAUUGUUAUUUGUAUUGUAAAGUUUUUUUUUAAUCAAUUUGCAUAUGUGUAUCUAUAAAUAAAUAACAAUAUUUGAGAAGUGUUUUUGCUGACGUGUCGGACUCUCGGCUCUUGUUGAACCCUUGAUUUUGCGUAAUUAAUUAUUCCACUGGAAAUUAUGUAACUUUACCAUAAUAUUUAUUCGUAGAUUAUAAAAAUAAAGUAGAUAUAAGGUUAUUUACUUUUUUCUUAAUGGCGAUAAUACCAUAUAUCACCGUUGACCAUAUCUCUUUAAGAAUAUUUACAUAUAGAUUUAGAGAACAAAGGAAAUAUUACAAUUAAAUCAUUAUGAUAAUGGCGAAUCUAUUUAGAAUAUACAAUUUAUCAUAUUGAUAAUGCCGACUUGGUCUAUUUAGAAUAGAAAUUUCCUUUUUCUGGAUUUCUAGAUAUUUUUAAAUCUUUAAAAUUGUUAAAAGCCCUAUAUUCUCCACUGCCUCUCAGCUCCUAUAAAUACCUUGAUAGGGGUUUUCGUCCCAACUCAUAUUAAUCUAUAGCGUUUUAAACUGUUACAAUAGUUUUAUAUGAGUUUUAAUGGUUUUUAUUUAUGAUCGUAGGUGGAUGCAUGUAAGCUACGUUAUGAACCGAUCGAUGCAUGAAAAUUUGGAUCCUAUUUCGACAGAUAUAUUGGUGAUCUUAUAGAUUUAUAUAUAAUGAUUUUUUUUUUGUUAUAGGAAUUUUAAUAGUUUUUAUUUAUGAUCGUAGGUGGAUGCAUGGAAGCUACGUUGUGAACCGAUCGAUGCAUGAAAAUUUGGAUCCUAUUUCGGCCGAUAAAUUGGUGAUCUUAUAGAUUUAUAUAUACUGAUUUAUUUAUUUUUGUUAUAUCAAUCUAUAAUUUAUGUUAUGGUUUCACUGUUUUCGCCACACAGAUUUAAUUGGCGACGUGAAACGAUGCAUAAUAAUUUGGAAUAUGUCAACAAGUGAGUUUCUAUCUUUUAUUUACCAUUUUCUUUUUGCUAUGAAUAUGUGAUUUACGUUAGGAUUUCAAUGUUUUCCUCUAAUUACUGAGGAUAUGUAAUCAAUUCGAUCGAGUACAUCUUUCUAAACAGGUAAAGCAUACAUCGAUUAUUAUUUUUUAAUAGUUUUGGGGUAUUAUUUUGUGUUAUUUGUUUAAUAUAAUAGUGUCGUAAAUUUGUUUUUUUGUAUUUAGGUUUCUCUUAAUUAAUCAAGAGAUGAAUUCAUCAGAGAAUUAUGGAUAUUUGUAUCUCAGAUAUUUACUUUUUUUAAUACAAAAAAGGUUAAACGAUUUUUGGCUUUUUUAAUAGAUUUUUUUUUUGUAUGAAUAAUAGUUUAUUUUUCUUUAAUCUUAUUUAGUAUGUCGUAUAAGAAAGAGAAAUAUUACAAAUAAUUAUUCUUUUUAUUUGAUUAGAUAACAACAAUGUAAAUUUAACUAAAAGGAUAUUUGCUUCCUUUUUUUCUAGAUAUUUUCGUAAGAAAUGAUUUGUCACCUAAUUUUAAUCUAUAUCUCUCUUUUUUUUCUUCUUAUUUUAGUUGUUUAAUACGUUUUAAUUUUGUUUUGGAUAUCAAUGUUUUAUUUAUUAUUCAUAUCGAUUUCUUACUUUCAAAUUUAUCAUGAUUGUUUCAUACAUAUUAAUGGUGUUUUCCCUUGCAGGUUGGAUGUGUGGAACAACUACGUGACUUGACGCAUGCAAAUUUGGAUCCAAUUUAAACUGAUCGAGAAUUAAUUAGUUUCUAUCUUUUAUGUCCCGAUUUUCUGUUUUUGUUAUGAAUCCACCUUUUCGUCCCCAAUUAGGUGUGGAAUUUGAAAGUUUGCUUCGGACGGAAGCAUUUUUGCUAUCCAUUGGGGAAAAGGGUUGGGUUUAGUUCUGUUCUACCUAUAAUCUAUUAGUUUGAUCAAUUUAUGCUUUUUUGUAUGCUGCACCAAUCUUUUAGUAUCAAAAUAUUAAACAAGCUAGGGUUUAUCUCUACACCUUUCAUCUAAUUCUAAUCUUUGACAAUUUUGUGCUUUUUUUGUUUGCUGCACCAAUCUUUUAGUUUCAAAAUAUUAAACAAGCUAGGGUUUAUCUCUACCCCUUUCACUAAUUCUAAUCUAUUUUUCAUUUUUUAAUCUUUCGUUUUCAGAAUCGGGGGAUCUAAAUUUUUUUUUAUAUAUAUAUUUUACCACCAUGAGUUCCUUGAUCCAAAUCAUUGAUGAAAAGGAAGGGGACGUUUAUCUUUUUUAGAUGAGGGCAAACGGUAGAAGAAGAGUGGUAGUUUAGAAAAGAGAAAAGAAAGCUUAUAGGUUAUCCACUAUAUAACAAUGAUUUAUUAUUAUGUUAAUAAUUUUUUAUUGGGGUUUAUAUCUUAAUUUUAGUAACUCUCUUUCUCUUGAAACUCUUUAUUGACAUUAGAUUUUCUGCUCAUUCACUCAUUAGUAGAUGUAGAAUUCUUCUCAUAAUACGAUGAAGAAAGCAUAUACAAAAUGGAUGGAAGUAAUUGGUGAAGGAAGCUAAAGGAUUCGUAUGCUCAGUCUAUUACACGCACCAGAUAUAUAGAGAUGUGUUGCAUGAGCUGGCUAUGGCUAAGUAGAUGUAGUUUUGAAUCCCAUUCAAUGAAAAAAAAAAGCUAGGGUUAAUUAUUUUUUUUAUUUUUUUUUGUCAUCAGCUAGGGUUAAUUAUAUCAUAUGAUUCAUGAACGUGUGAUCUCUUUUAACCUUAAUGUAUUUGUUUUAUGAUUUAGUGGGGUUUUUUUUUUGUUGGUUAUUUUAUGUGAUUAACAUGUAAUCUCCACGUAAAUAAUUCAUUAUUAUUCAUGUGAUCAAUCCUGCGGGCACAACAACUUUUUUACCUAAAUAUAGAUGUAAUUUAAAUUACAAAAAAAUCAGCGUUUAUCAUUUUUUUUUUUUUUUGAUAACCCAGUAUCCAGACCACACAGUGAUCUGACUAGCCCACUGGGCCUAAGCCCACGUCACAGAGAUUUUUAAGCCUCCACUUAAGGGCCCCCUGAUAAACUGGUGGUCUGGGGCGCCUGAGCAAGUCCGCAUGUAAAUUCCCAGGUGGCCACAGGAGUGAGAGAGCGAAACUGCGUCUGGGGAGGAUCGAUCCCUGGCCUAGACCAACAGGGCGUUUAUCAUUUCUUUCUUUUCGAGAACAAUGAUCCGCCAGUAAUUAACUCGGAGAUAAUCUCGACGUUUUGAACUUUUGGGUUCUCUUUUCUUGGAAAAGGCUAGGUUCGAAUCAUCAAAAAAUCGUGGCAGUAAUGAUUUUUUUUCUUUUGUUUGUUUGUUUGUCUUCGUAGAGAGGGAACGAUUCUUGGUGUGAUCUCUUGCGUACGUACUUAUAACACCAUGCUAUAAUUUUUUAAAAAUAUGAUUACAUUGAUGGUGAUGGUGAUUCGAUGGCUGGUAAAGUGUAUUCAAAGUUUAAUCUUUUGCCGGGUAGGAUUGCCAAGAUGAUCUGUCCAAAUUUGAUUAUCUCCUCACUUCAAGUUUUUUCUUUUCCUCCAACGUAAGUUAGAAAUAAUAGUAAAUUGUGAUGUUAUGGUUUUAUGAAGUACGGUCGAAAAUUUAAAUAACAUAUAGAAUGUCGAUCAAAAUUUUUAUUGAUAUUAUGCCUACAUAUGUGUUCACAAUUUCAUGUCAAGUUGUAUGAACCAAAUUAAGAGGGGUUUUGAUUACAAAUCCAACAUGCAAUGAUUCUGUGGUAAAUCUUGCGAGCACUAAAGAUAUUUUUUUGCGGGCACUAAAGAUAUUGUUUGCGGGCUCUAUAGAUAUUUUUUUACCCACAAAUAGAUGUAAUUGUGUUCGUUGGUUGAAUAUUAAAAUUUUAUUUUGAGAUUUGUUUUAAUACAAGGAUAAAGAUUAUAUGAUUUGGAUGAUUUUAAAUUUUAAUGUAUUUUUGUUAUGUUUUUAGUUACAAUGGAAAUUGAUGUGGUAUUUUAUAUUUGAAGUCAUUUUUCAAAUGUACUUCCUAAAUAUAAUAUUUAGGACAAACCCGUCACAUGUUUUCACCCGCCUUCCAUAUUAACAAAUUUGAAUACAUUAUAUGGGAAUUAUAGAGAAUGACGUUGACAGUUCUGAUAAGCGUUUAUGCAUCUAUAUAAAUAUUUAAUUAUAAAUUCGGAUUAAAAAUUAAACAUGUCCUUAGUAAACACAACAAAUAUGUAUUGAAAUAAAGUUAUAUAUUUUGCAAAAAAAAUAUUUGGAUUGGAUAAAGGGUAUGGUAAGUACGUUGCUAUUUGUUAUUCUUUUUUAAAGCUUUAAAAUCGUUUAGUCUUUGGAAUGAAGAAGACUAAAUAUAGAGAAGAGAGUACUCAUCAGAAGUAAUUAAAGAGUAAAUAAUAGAGGUUAAAAAUUGAAAUCUUCAUUGUUAAGAGAGUAGAGUGGAAAUAUAAAUCGAGUAAAAGACAGAAGAGAGAUCCAAGUUCAUGGAAUGCGUAGUUAGGGUUUGAAUCUAUUGAGUGGGGGUUUGACCUAAUGAGGGGAGUAUUCUAUCCAGGAUUGAAUUUGUUUCAGUUUAAUAUACCUUCUCUAGGUUUCACUUUCAAAUCAUAACUAACUCCAUUUUUUUUGCUUUCUAUUUUUUUUUUUUUGCAUUUUAUUUUAUUUGGCUUUACACAUAUUAAUUCAUGGUGUUUAUGUAUGGUUAUAGGUUACGGAUGCAACGUCGUUAAACAAUUACAGGACAAUUAAAUUGCUGAUUCAAUCGAACAUAUGGUGAGUUAUUCACUUUAGUACUUUCAUGUUUAAUAUUUAAAUUAUGCUUGGAUGUAUUGAGAAAUCUAUAAGCUUUCCCAUAAUAUUUUGCGAGCAGCUUAGAUUUCAUAUUCUUCACUAAAAAAAAAAGAAGCUUUGAUUUUGUAUUUACCAUAUUCUUCACUAAAAAAAAAAGAAGCUUUGAUUUUGUAUUUACAUAAUUUGAUAUCAGUUUGAUUAUUGGUUCCAUCAUGAUGCAAAUUACGGCCUCUCAACAACCCUAAUAGACUAUAAUCGUUGGGAAGUCUUCUUUUUUCUCUUGCUUCUCUCUGAUUAUCUUUCACCAGGAGUCUCAGUUAUUAUUAUUUCUUUGUAUUGAUGCGACCAGAAGUUUUAUCUCUUUUUUUAAAUACUGAUCUCUUUAUGGAUUUUUCAUUUAGGUAUGAACAUGGUUCGUUUCACGGGGUGUUUCGGUGUCUUGCCUUGAAUCAAGGCGUGUAAAAACGUAAAGCUUGUUUUUAUCUAUCUUUUUUUUUUUAUUGUCACGUCUUUAUCCAUCUAUGUAAUGUUUAAUCAUCAAUUAUUAUAUUAAACUUCAAUAAAGGCAACAACAUCCUGGUUGGUUUGUUUUAUCUGAUUAGUGUACCAAAUUCAAUUAGAACUAUAUCAGAUCUAAGAAAUUAUUGAUUAUUUAUACAUGCAGGUUAUGUGUGAUCCUUAUACACCAGCUGGUGUUCCAAUUCCAACCAAUAAGAGGCACAACGCUGCUAAAAUUUUCAGACACCCAUCGUUGCCUCCGAGGGGCCUUGGUAUGCUCAUCUUCUUCUUUUUUAGCUAUACAUAUUAUUUUCGUUACUAUAAAUUCUAAUAGUGUUAUUUUUUUUAAACGAUUGUAUGUUUUGGAUGAAUGAAAGCAACCACGAUGCAUGAAGAAGAUUUAGGUGAUGUUUCAAUUAAUCUUUUAUCUUUAAUUUAUCGAUUUUCUAAUUUUACAAAAAUGUUCUCACCGAGUAGAAUAUACUUUUGAGUUUUGAGUUAAAUCUUUCACAGUCUGUUGUGGAUUAGCAACGUUUCAAGCCAUAUUAACUAUUGUGUUGUGGCAGUUCGAAAGAUUCAUAUAAAUUGGACUAUUGCUACAAAGAAAACAGAAUCACAGGUUCAAUUCUAUCAAAAGAGAUAAAGCCUCUUAUCUCUACUGUCUUUGAGGGUAAAGAUGCUAAUGUCAUCGCCCACAGAGCACGAAAUUGCGGAAAAACACAUCCCAUACAUGUAUUGAAAGCAAUCCCAUUAAGGUAUUGAUUAUCAGACAUGAUACUAUAGAUGAAAAAUGCUAAUUAUUGUAUCGCAUGGUUUGUAGGGAAAUGAUAGGGAGCUUGGUUUAACCGUUCUUACAAUGUCUGAGAUGAUAUCCAUGGCUGAGGAAAGAGGAGACUCAGUUUCUGUAUCAGUUUACGAGGUUUCUCAAGAAACCGUGUAUGACCUUUUAGACCAAGAGAAGCGAGUGGUUGCUGUACUGGAAGGUGCACAAGGGAAAAUUCAACUAAAGGGACUUCCUCAGGCAAGUCAUUUAGUGUUCUUGAUCAUUAAUAUUUCAAUGUUUCUGCUUUCAGGUACCUGUGAAGUCACUCUCAUAAUUCCAUAAAGGUGUGAUGAUACAUGUUACCACUGGCAACGCCAAUCCAGGCUCCCUUGGGAGGAUGAACUUUCUUGAUAUGGCAGGUUGAGUAUUUUAAUAUCACAUUUUAAUUGUCUUUUCUUUGUGAUGAUCUUAUGUCAGCAUGUGAUUGGUGUUGUCUUUCUCUGAUAUGAUAUGAGGAUUCUGAUAGAAGCAGUUAAAAGACUAAUUACUAUUUACUAAGGUUUCAAUUUAACCAAGGUUUAUUAUGAGGGUAAACCAUAGUUGGUUUAGCUUUUCUUGUUUGGUCUAUGUCUAUAUAUAAUGUCUGAGAGAGUUGUGAGUGUCUUUUAUCGAGUAAUUGGAGAAAUCUUAGGGGGAGUGGGAGGAGCUCCAUUGUCAAAUUCCUCGAGUCCUUGUAAUUCUCGUCUUGAUAUUCUAUGAAAUACCCUUUUCUAUAAACUACUCCUAUCAGAUUCCAGGAAACAAAACAGUGCUCUAGCUCCUCUAGAGAUUGCCAGAGUUAAUAAGUUGAUAUAUGCUUUACAGAAUGUCAUGUAUGCUCUCAACGGAAAUGAAUCCCAUGUGCCAUAUCGGGAGAGCAAACUCACUCGAAUGCUGAAAGAUUGUUUAAAAGGAUACAACAGACGUUGCUGAUCACAUGAUUGGUAUACUUUUCUUGCUGUUGAGUUCGUUUUAAGUUUAUGAUUCACUGAAUGUAACUGCAGGCGAUGCUAACCCUUUUGUUUUUUUUUAGCCUCGGGAAUAUAGCCAAAACUCCUUUUACAUGUUAAACCGAGCCAUGACUAAUCCUACUAAGAAGAAGAUCUACGGUCUUGAAAGAUCUAUUUCAUUAUGCUCUGCCGCUCAAAGGAGACAGACACCUUUGACUGUGUCUGCUACUUCUAGAAAACAGACAGUGCUAAGGGGAAAUGUGACAGAGAGAAAAGACUAAAAUCAACACUGCUGCUUCUGCAAUUAAAGCAAGGUAAAUCUUUCAGAAACAACUUUGUAUCAACUCUAAGCCUCAAUAUCCAUGAUAUACCUGCAUCUGCUCCGUUGUUCAGUUUUAGAACAUCAAAUAAUGAUGAUUUUUUUUCUCAAUGUUUGAAGGAAACUGUUCCGGGAAGCAAACGAUUCGGUGAAAUGUAAAAAUAGCAUGUUGGAAAAUUUAAUUAAUACGUCAUGAAGUAGAACAAUCUAGAUUCUUCCUUUACAAAGAGGUAAAACAGAGGGUAUAGAAACAGAGACUUAGAGACCAAGAGUCUUAAUUAAGGAGAAUUAAUAAAAAGCAUGUUCGAGAAUUUAAUUAAGACAUGUCAUGAUACGGAAGAAGCCAUGUUCCUUCUUCCUUUAAGAUGUAAAGGCUUUUGGUUUAAGCUUAGCCUUAAAAGAGAGGAAAAACAGAGUAUAUGGAAACGGAGACUAAACCAAAAUUGAAACUUUGUUCCUUGGUUUCGAAAUAAAAGCUAAUUAUAUGAAAAUAUAAGCAUACCCGUCUUUGAAUUAGGAAGGUGCAAUAACGAAAUCGAUUUGAUAUUUCUGAUUGAUGAGAGAAAGGAUAAAAAUUGGAAAGUAUUUAUUUGAAAAAACUUUUUUUUCUGUGGCAUGGUGUUUAAGGAGAAAAUAAGGAAACAGAGAUUUCAUGAAGAAAUAAAAUAGAGCAAGUAACGAACAAGAAGGGACGAGGAAAAUUAAAGCGACGACAUUAGUGAGUUCAAACUAUAAACAAUUAUAUUACUUAAAAUUUAUAUAUACAAUUAAACUAAUUUAUGUAUAUUAUAAUAAUAUAUUUUGAGAGACUUUGAGAGAACCUCUCACUGCACAUGCUCUCAAUACUGCUUUCUAUAGGCACGAGCUGUCGUUCAAGAGGUUCACUUUCUUCCAUUCAAUCAUACUGAUAAGAGAAAAUCUCUAACUAAGAGCAUGAUUAUCCAUAGUGUCUUAGAAAUAAAUCUUAGGAAUAUUUAAGUAAUAUAUUUGUAAAAUAUGGUUCUUAACUAUUUUUUUGUUGCUUACCUAAGAAACCCUCUUAGCAAUAAUGGUUUAGUUGGGAUUUAAUUUUAAUCAUUUAUUGCUAAGAUCCAACUUAAGAAAACUUUAAGAACCUGCCUUUAAUCAUGGUCUAAGAUGCAUAGUGCACAUGAGCAAGUAAAUUGUUGAUUGCCAUUUAACUUCUAUUUCUAAAAAUAUUGGUGUAGAUUCAUAUCAGCUAAUAUUGCCGAUGAUUCAAAUCCAAAAUCUUGAACACAAUAAAGCAAAGAUUAAGUGGAGAGUUAAUACUGUGAUAGACAAUUUUGCUGAAUUAUUAUAUAUCUUAGUUUUUUUAGGUUUUCAUUGGUAGCCUUAAUGAAAACUCGGGCAAUUAUUUUGAGACGGUCCUAAUAAAAAAAGUCUAAUUGUUCCAUUAAAGGAGAAUGAUUUUUUUAUUUGAGUCAUUAACAGUAUUUACUUUGUGUAAUAGUUGUGAGAUAUGAUUUAGUCGGUUUACCCGGUACAAUCAGACUUUCGACAUAGCAAACGAAACCUCUUAACAAUAGUUGUUGAGUUAGCUGCAAAUUCAUCAAAAUAUUUCAUAGAGAACCAACAUUUGGACUUGAUAUACGAGCUGCUACACUAGAAGAGCAAUGGUUUGAACAAUUUGCGAGAUAAUGAAUGUUGUUCUUUAGGAUAAAGUGUGUGUCUUUUUUUGUAAAGGGAUUUGGAGGUACUUGAAAAUAAUUUUUUUGGUUCUCUGGUCAAUUUUGUACGCCACUCUUUGAUCUAGAGGUAUAUAUGAUAGUCCUUAGCAUUGCAUCUAGCUGUAUUGCUUCAUUGUUGUUGUUGUUACUCGGGGACUAACAGUACAUUCGAGGUUUGGUAUACCACUUAACCCUAAUCAAUCCACUACUUACUUGAUAAAGACAUAUUCUCAUCAUGUAUAUUUGAUUAGAUUAGCUAGGCUCGUAAUAUGGGACAAAACCCCGAAGAUGAGCAAGAAAUGCUUUGAAAGAUUUUAUCGUAGCAUGCGUGUCAUAUCUGCACCCUUCGGUGCUCCCUUGUAAAAUCAGAGUAUAUGAGUAUAGAUACUUAAUAGGUUUAAGUGUUCUUCGAUCUUGGACGAUACAUUCCAACUUAUACUGGUCGAUACAGAGGUUAUACAAAUUUUUGGUUUUUCUAAUAAAAUAAAUUGUUUGGUGAAAGAUUGCUAUACCUUUAACAAUUUUAUUUUGUUUGUUUGGGUCACGACAUACAUACUAUAAUUGAUAAAGAGUAUUAUCGUCGCCGUGGAUUCAGGUUUUUCCAAGGACGAUGGAUACAUGGCCGGCCCUAUAGACAUCAACAAGAAACUUUUGCUGUAGCCCAAAUUUUGUUUCUGAAAUUCUUCAACAAAAAUUAUUUACGAAACGGCCCUAAUUUUAUUUAUUUUACGAUAAUUGGCCCUAAAUUUUAAAACCUUUCAAAAUAACCAAAAACUUUUUUUUGAGUAUUUGGCCCUUCAAAUCUCAGGGCAGGCCCUGGAUGGAUAACACUUAGAGAUUUUGAUUCAUGUUAUCGGUUCGCUUAGUCCUACUUUUUAUGAUUUUAAAAUUCAUUGGAAUUUAUCAAUCUUUGUUUCACAUAUACCUUCCUUGGGUGCGAAUGAUUACUGCGCAUUCGCAUCUUUUAGGAAAAUUGAUACUUAGUUUUGAGUAUGUUUAUUUCCCUGGUCCCAUAAUAUCUUUUGUUUGGAUAUUUUAUUGUUUGCAUUGUUAUGGUUUGAUCUAUUAAUUUAAAUAAUUAUAUUUAAUUGGUUGGGUCGUGAGUGUUAGCAAUAUUGAAGACGGAAAACCAAUAAUAAAGUGUGGGAUCAAGUUUAUGUGGAAUUAGAAGAUGAAUUGUAAGUUAUUAAUUUAAUCAAAAUUAGAUUUGUUAUAGUUUAAUUUGGGUAGUAUGCUAAAAACUUAAUUUUAUAAUAAAUUUACGUCUAUAAUGUCGACUAUGGUGGAUACUGUUGUAAAUUUUUGAGAGAAUGGAGUAAACAAUGCGAUAAUAUCACCAUAUUUAUCAUGAGAUUCACUAGAAUAGAAGUCACUCGAGGUAUUCGAAUAUUGUUAUUUUUCAUGUAUAUAUAAUUUCUGAAUAUUUAUUAGUCGAUCACGUUUCUAUGAUAUUGUUUCUGAUGGUUUUGGCUACUAUUGUUUGCAAUGGCAACCGAAUGAUGCUAAACAAUAUGUGUGCUGAAAGUUGCAGGAAUGCGGAGUUGUUUUGUGUUAAGGAUCACAGAAAUUUUUAUUAGUUACUAAGCUUAAAAAAAAAAAAAAAAAAGCUUAUCUAUUUUUUUUGUUUCCAUUUUUCCGAAUUGUUUUUUUUUUCCUAAACAUGUAAAUAUGAUCUAAAAUGAAGUUUGAGGCUUUACAAAAGAUAAAUAAUUACACAAAAGCAACCUUGGCAAAAAAAAAGAUAAAAACAAGAGUACAAUAGAGUAAAGAAAGAUUUGGAAAUAGAUAAAGAAUCCAAAUAAGCAUAAGCUUUGUUCUUCUCGAAGUGAUGAUGUUUCGUAGCUCCACUCCACCAUCUUGAAAAUGAUUUGAGCAGCAAGCCGCAAGGAGUUAUGGAGAAUGUUAUUACGCUGUCGCCAGAACUUAUAGACCACCACUUGAGAUGCUACUUUUCUAAGCAAAGAAGGCACAUGACUGGAAGAGCGUCAGGUCCAAGAAAAUAGCUCAAUCCAAGAGCAAAACAACCUUUGUUGCGGAAAAAGCCUAGAGAAAACUAAAUUCCACACCUGGAAAGAGCUCACAGAGGAGCAGAAGGUGAUCAUGAGACUCCGUUAGGCAAUUAUUUAAGUGACUCUGGAGAGGAAGAGCGUUAGGACAAAGAAAGUAACUCAGCCUAAGAGCAAAACAACUUUUGUCGAGAACAAAGCCUAGAGAAAACUAAAUUCCACACCUGGGAAGAGCUCGCAGAGGAGCAUGAGGUGAUACCGAGACUCUGUUGCAAAAGUGUAAAGACAACACUCAUCAAAUUGAAUUUGUUCCCAAGAAGCCAGUCUUUGAUGAGUGGGCAAUUCUUAAAAAGUGUAAGGAGAAGAAGAGCGUUGGGUCCAAUAAAGUAGCUCAGCCCAAGAGUAUAACAACCUUUGUUGAGGAUAAGGCCUAGAGAAAAUCAAAUUUCCCAUCUCAGAAAAGCUUACAGAGGAGCAGGAUGUGAUCCUGAGACUCCGUAGCAAAAGUGCAUAGACAACACUCAUCGGAUUGAAUUUUUCCCUAAGAAACCAGUCUUUAGCGACUGGAGAGGACGAUUGGAGAUUUAUUUAAGUGUCUCAACAGAAGAAGAGCGUUAGGUGCCAGAAAGUAGCUCAACCCAAGAGCAAAACCACCUUUGUGGAGGAUAAAUCCUAGAGAAAACCAAAUUCCACACCUUGAAAAAGCUCAGAGAGGAACACGAGGUGAUCCCCAGACUCCGUUGCAAAAGUGCAAAUACAACACUUGCCCCCAAGAAGCCAGUCUUUGAUGAGUGGGCAAUUAUUUAAGUGACUCUCGACGGUUCAAGAAAGUAGCUCAGGCUAAGAGCAAAACAACCUUUGUCGAGGACAAAGCCUAGAGAAAACUAAAUUACACACCUGUGAAGAGCUCACAGAGAAGCAGGAGGUGAUCUCGAGACUCUGUUGCAAAAGAACAAAGACAACACUCAUUAGAUUGAAUUUAGCUCCAAGAAGCCAGUCUUUUACGAGUCGACAAUUGCUUAAAAGUGUAAGGAGAGGAAGAGCGUUGGGUCCAAUAAAGUAGCUCAGCCCAAGAGUAAAACAACCUUUGUUAAGGAUAUGGCCUAGAGAAAAUCAAAUUUCCCACCUCGGAAGAGCUCACAGAGGAGCAUGAGGUGAUCCUGAGACUCCGUUGCAAAAGUGCGUAGACAACACUCCUCGAAUUGAAUUUGUCCCCAGGAAACCAGUCUUUAACGACUGGAGAGGACGAUUGAAGCAAGAUUUAUUUAAGUGUCUCAACAGAAAAAGAGCGUCAAGUGCCAAAAAGUAGCUCAACCCAAGAGCAAAACAACCUUUGUGGAGGAUAAAUCCUAGAGAAAACCAAAUUCCACACCUUGAAAAAGCUCACAGAGGAACACGAGGUGAUCCCGAGAGUCCGUUGUAAAAGUGAAAAUACAGCACUUGGCCCCAAGAAGCCAGUCUUUGAUGAGUGGGCAAUUAUUUAAGUGACUCUCGACGGUCCAAGAAAGUAGCUCAGGCCAAGAGCAAAACAACCUUUGUCGAGGAAAAAACCUAUAGAAAACUAAAUUUCACACCUGGGAAGAGCUCACAGAGGAGCAGGAAGUGAUCUCGGGGCUCCGUUACAAAAGUACAAAGACAACACUCAUCGGAUUGAAUUUGUCCCCAAGAAGUCAGUCUUUUACGAGUCGGCAAUUAUUUAAGUGACUCUAGAGAGAAAGAGUGCCGGGUCCAAGAAAGUAGCUUAGUCCAGGAGCACAACAACCUUUGUCGAGGAUAAAGCCUAGAGAAAACCCUAGAGCUGGCUACAAUAUUUUACGAAUUUGUUGUUUACCAAAUUUUUAUAGGAUAUACGAUAAAAUUGAUUUUUUGGAUGUUUAGAUGUUUAUUGUGUUGUUGUGAAAGCUGGAAACAUCACGACACCCAUUUAUGUUGCUGAAAGAGAUGAAGCUCCUAAUCAUUGUCACAUUAUUAAAUUCGAAAUCAAGAACUAUUGGUACCUUCGAAAUUUCUGUUGUUUGUAGUUGUGAGCGUCUCCGGUAUCGACUAUCGUGGUUUUAUGUCAAUAAAUUUCUCACUGAGUGGAGGCAAUGUAUUGAUGACAUUACCAUAUGUAUAUUCAGAUUUGCAAGAACUGAAAUGAGUGAAAGUAUUUUGUUUUGGUUUUGUUAUUUAACAUGUAAUGUUGGGGUUUGAGACAUUGAAACUAUAUUCCUUUGAUAAUUAAAGUACACGAAGAGGUACUGCUUCAUACAAGUGUUCGCAGAUUCUAUUCAAUCAUUCUUGUCAUGAUGCGAGAUAUCUUUUCCAACAAGAAGAAAGGACAAAUGUCACACAUCCAAUUUUGAUCUUUUGAUUAUCUUUGGUUGUUGAUGAGCAAACCAAGACUACUAAAUUUAUACUUUCUGGUUCUAAUGAUUUUAGUUUUCCGUUUUGCAUUUUAUUAUAUUCAGAGGAUAAUAAUCACUAUUUUCUCGCAAUAAUAUAUAUCAAACGUUAUGGCGUUUUACCAUAAUUCUAUAUUAAUGUCGUUAUAAAAAUUAUACUCUUGACAAAAUUUAAUCAAUAAUUGUCUAAAACUUAUAAUCCUAAAUGACUAAUUCGGGUUUUAAUCAACAUACAACCCCGCGCCGGGCGCGGGGACCUCCCCUAGUCUUAUGUAAAAUUGUUCUUGUCAACAAUACUUGAAUGUUUUAACUUUUAAACCUCCCUUUUUUUCAGCCCUUGAAAUUUUUUUGAGCCACUAAUAUUUUUUAUAUAAGAAAAGUCAACAUCCUUUAAUUUAUGAUUUGUCAAAAAAGUUGCCUAACUUAACUCAUGGUAUAAGUAAACACUUUUAGAAAUGUUCACGCCACAUUUGGUCCUCAUGGGAUAGCUUGGAUGACUCACACACUUGUUUAUCUCCAACAAAUUAUAUUAAAUGUUUAAUUAAAAUGAAUUUUUAUUUUUUUUCCAAACCAAGUCUUAUCUCUAAUGAAGGAAGGGACUUCCAUUUUCGAUUACACCGUGAGAUAAACUGAUUCGUCAAAAAAUUAUAAUUCAAAUACAGAUUGAUAACAAAACUAAACUUAUAUAAUAGUCAACUCUGACCUUUUAGUUGCGCAAAAACCAACUAGCAGUGACUUAAACCAAGAACUGAAGCUUGAUCAAACCAAUUAUCACAAUCAAACCACUUUAUUUCCUGAGUCUGACCCAAAUCCUUCAAUCAUCAAAUAGAUCUCUUCACAAAGUUUUACAACAUUAGUCUUUCAAAACCACAAGUAAAAAUAGAUCAAACACAAAGUUUCAAGCAAUAAGUUAAACAAAAUAGAUCGAACAUAAAGCUUUGACACAAAGAAGAAAAUCAUUAUAUCUCUCCAUCACUAAGGGCCUUCUUCUCCAGUCUCUCGAUCUCUCUAUUACUAUUAUUGGUUUUAAAUGAAAGAAACUGUAAGUGAUUUAAACCAAGAAUUAUCGUCAAAAAACAAAAUUUACACCAAUAAGUGAAGCUUGAUCAAACCCAUUAUCAGAAUCAAGCCACUGCAUUUCCUGAGUCAAGUCUUCAAUCAUCAAAUAAAUCUCUUUCGAAAGAGAAUGAGAUCGGUCUUCAGCAUUAAAGGCAUUAACUUGAUUUCUAAUCUCAAUCCAGCUCCAACCUGGAACUUUCUUUACACCUCUCUCUUUCAUCAUCUUCUUCACAUUUGCUUUCUCUUCCCAUUUCUUUAGAUCACUAUACAUAUGAGACAACGAAACAUAGGCAAAAUGAUCUUCUGGUUCGAUCUCUAGCAAAUGGUUAGCCACUUGAGUAGCCAUCUCUAUCUCUCCACAAGCCCUGCAAACUCCAAGGAAAGUUUUCAACACCAUUGGAUCAGGAUUCAAUGGCAUUGAUUCGAUUAACUCUUUCACUUUGUUCACAAGCCCUGCUCUGCCUAAGAGAUCAACUGCAGCUGCAUAAUGUUCCAUUCGAGGUUGGAUUUUGUAAACCGGUUCCAUCGAGUUAAGUAACUCAAGCCCCUCUUGUAUCAAACCCGUGUGGCUACAAGCUGUUAGAAUUGCAGUGAAGGUUACGUGGUCUAGUUUCACGUUUUGGUUACACAUUUGAGAGAAGAGAUCAAGAGAGACUUGGCCUGAACCGUGUUGAGCGUAGCCUAGAAUCAUCGCGUUCCAGGCUAUUGUAUUGUGUUUGGAAGAAAUCUGCUCGAAGCAUUUUCGCGCGUUCUCAAUUACUCCACAUUUUGAGUACAUCAAGAUCAGAGAACUGGUUACAAACUCGUUUGAUUCGAAGCUUGAUUUAGUGGCAAGAGCGUGAGUCUGCUGACCUAACUGGAGUGUUGCUAGGUCCGAGCAUGAUCUGAGAACUGCAGAGAAGGCGUAAUCGUCGACUUCUAUGUUUGAAGAUCUUAAGUAGCGAAAGAACUUUACUGCAUCCUCGCUGAGACCAUUUUGGGAGAACCCUGUCAUAAUCGAAUUCCAAGAGACAAGAUCCUUAGGUUUUAAGGAUUCAAAUAGAGACAGAGCAUCUUUCAUGACGCCUGUAGGAAACUGAAUAUACAUAGAGAUCAAUGCAUUUGAAACAGAAGUAACUUGCUCCAAUCCCUUCUUUAUCACCAAACCAUGCAAAGACUUUCCAAAACUCUGAUGUUCUUCGCCAGAGCAAGCACUUACGAUGCCGGUGUAAGUAUAAAUGUCAGUUUCGAUCCAAUUCCUAUGCAUUUCAGUAAAUAGUUCAAAAGCAGAUUCCUUUUGCUCGUGUUUAGAUAAACCUGCGAUCAUCGAAUUCCACGAAAUCAAGUCUUUUGAGCCACCCAAGCCAUCAAAAACUCUCUUCGCAUCGGAUACUAAACCACAAUUUGCGUAAGAGCUGAUCAUCGCAUUGCAUAUAGUAAUCUCAUGUUCAAGCCCGAGUUUCAAAACCUUAGCAUGAACUUGCUUCAACAAGUUACAAAACAUCGGAUCAUCAAGCAAAGUAAGAAGUGGAGCAAAAGUGCCAUCGUCCAUAGUCACAGCAGCUUUCAUCUCCAUCAAACCCAACAACCAAAAAGCAGUCUUGGUAUCUCGCACUUGCACAAAUCCAGCAAUCAAAGCAUUCCAUGAAACAGAGUUAGGCUCUAAAAUCUCCAUAAAAGCCCCAAAAGCAUCUUCAACUCUUUCACAUUUCGCGUACAUAUCAACAAGCGAACUUCCAACAUACACAUUACACUCAUAACCUCCCUUUACAACCAAACCAUGUACUUGCUCCCCAAGAUCGAACCUUUUCGCAGAAGCAAUCCCUUUCAAUAACCUACUAAAACUAUACCCAUCAACAUAACAUCCACAUCUCUUCAUAUCUGUAAACAAACACCAUGAAUUCUCCAAUUUCCCACAGCUUGUGUAUCCAGAAAUCAUCGUGUUCCAAGACACGGAAUCUCUCUGAGGCAUUUCAUCGAACAACUUAUGUGCAUAACCCAAGAAGCCAAAUUUUAUAUAAGAAUCCAAAAUUCGAUUGGAUACGUAAGUAUCGGAGACGGAACCAUAUUUGAUGGCGUAACAGUGAGUGACGGAAAGCUUUUGGAAAGUGUUUAAAGAGCUCUCUAGUAGAGAGGUUAACAAAGCUUUCAUUCAUCUGUUUCUCUGUGUUCAUGUAAAGUCAACGAACAAGUCAAAAAGAACCUCUCUCUUUUCUCAACAUCAAAGAUAUUUUAUUACUAUUUUUAUGUAAAUAAAAUAUUCUAAAUAUGUAUUUUUGUCAAAUAAUCAGUUUAUUUUAAAUUUAUAUAUUUCCGAAUUUACAUAGUAAUGGAUAAUCAAGUGGCUAGUUUGUGGUAAUUUUAUGUGUUAAUAACCUUAAGUGGAUUAAUUAUAGGUUUAUUCAGUAAAUAGAAAUACAUUUUGAAGCUUGAGUUAUUUGUAAAAUGGUAUUUGUUUCCUCUUUUUUUUUUUUUGGUUUUAGUGUUAAGAUUUCAUUCCAUGGAGAAAAUUACAAGCUAAGCUACAUAGUACAAAAUUAACCCAUUAUCACAAGAACAAAAGACAGAAUAGAGAAAUUACAACGGAUAAAAAAUGAGAAAAUUAGAAAUAAAUGAUAUCUACUUAAAAAUUUGUCUAUAUAUCUUUUUUUUUGUAGAUUGGUCAAAUAGGUUUUUUAAAAAUAAAAACCCAACUUUACCCUCAUUUUCUCUCAAAAUUAAUAAAAAAUUGAUUUCAAAAAUAAAACUUCCUGAUUUAUUUACAAAAGUUAAAUAAAAAUCUAAAGAAUCAAACCUUCCACUUGAGAAAGAGUCUCUCAAUGACCUAUACCUAAUUAACUAUUUUUUUUUUUCUGUCGUAGAUGAACAUGUCGGGAUAAAAAAAAAAACCCUACCCCACCGCCGUAUCUCUGCCGACUGCGUGUUAUCCGGCAUCGUUGGUCCUCCGGUGUUCAUCUGGGCGACGAUUGAAGAUUGAAUCAAUAGGUUCGUUGCUCUACUCUUUUUUUGUGAUUGAAUUAUGUCUUUUUCUUAUCUCAAGUCACAAUUUUCUGUUACUCGUUUAGAGAUUUGCGUUCAUAUAAACACAAAUUGAAUUUGAGACUUGUAAAUCGAUGUGAAUCUUUUUGUUUUCUCGAUUUAGUUGCAAGUCACAAUUUCAAUUUGCAUGUAGAGUUGUUAAUAUCUUUGAAUUCGUGUAACUCGAUUAGAGGUUUCAAUUUUGUGAGUUUUAAAAUUCCAAAUUUCAAUUGUGUAGAUUGAAUAAGUCUUUCGCUCUUUGAUUCAUGUGAAUGUAUAUGUGUUUGGGUUCGAAUUCAUUGAUUUAGACAGAGUUUUAUGACUGAAAUCAUGUCAUCUUCUUAUAAAACUAGAAGUGAAUAUUUUUGUUCUCUUAUUGAUCUGUUUAGUUCGCUAUUUGUAUGUGUGUGUGUCAUGAGUAGCUCAAGUACGUGUCUUGUUUAUUUUUUUAGUUAUAGGUAUUGUCUCUUGUAAAUCUUCUUCAGCUAAGUCAAUUGUAAAUCUUUUUCAGCUAAAGAAAUCCACAUAUCGUCAAUGAAAAUAUCUUUUAUCUCUUAAUUCAUGUUUAAAUCUUUAUUCAAGUUUGUUUCUGCAUGUUGAAAACAAUCUAGGAAGCACGAGUAAUUAGUUACUUUAAUUUAACAUACAAUUUUUUUGUUUGCUAACUGCAACUAUGCACUAUAAUUAGUCAUAACUCUGAAUGGUUUUAUUUAGAUAUGUUUGCUUUUUAUGUGCAGUCACUGCUAAGGAGUUUCACAAGCGCCUUUUCGUACAUGGUAAAGAUCCUAUCUUAAUUGAGCGAAUGAAGAACUAUCAACCUACAUCAAUCGUCGGAUAUCCUUGAAAUUGAUUGAGAUUAAUUAGCAUUAUGGUUUUUUUUUUUAUCAUCAAAACAGAUUACGUACUAACUAGUCUUGUGACAUGUAGUUUGUAUGACCUUUGUUUUUUUUUUCUUAUUAUUUAGGCGUUUUAUGAAUUUAACUUCGUAACGACGUUGCAGAAAUAACUCCAUUAAACAAUAUAAAUCUACACUAGAUCAAAGAUGAUCAAAUACUGAAAAAUAUAUAUAAAAAAAAUAAGGUACUAAGAUGCCGGCAAUCCACACAGUGCCGGCGUUUGGGGUGUGCAAGUGGAGCAAUUGUACCGGGUCCAAUUUUUUUGGGUAAAUUUAAGGGCCCAAUUUUUUUUUUUUCGUAUAGAAAAAAAUGUAAUUUUUAAAACUUUAAGAUAUAUUUAUUAUAAAAAGCUUAAAUAUUUUAUUUAGUAUGAAAGUGGUUAAUUUUUAAGUUUUUUUUUAACAUGAAAAAGGCCCAAUUUUUUUUUUUUUGUAUGAAAAUAGGCCAAAUUUUAAGAUUUGUACCGGGACUCAAAAUUAAUUGAGCCGGCCCUGAAUCCACAGUUACACUUCUUCAGAACUACAGAAGAUCUACUCACAUUUGAAGUACCCGUGACCAAAUCCAUCUACGCAAAAUCAAUAAAUCCUGAUUGAGACAUUUUAUCGAACAACUUAUGUGCGUCCGUUGAAUCGUCUUUUAAAACCAAAAUAAACACACAAAUAUUUACAAUUACAUGCAUUUAAUAGAUCUAUUUUUGGAAUAAUAAGGGAUCAAACUUUGAUUAAACCUGAUGCAACCUCCCCAAUUUGCUUGAAUCGUCACAAGUAAUCACUGUUUUCAAACCGUUGUGCCAAACGAGUCUUUACUUUUCUCUAUUAGUACUUGUCUUCCUUAUUUUUAGAAUCUCCGGCUUAUGUUAGUAUUUGUUUGUUAGUAAGUUUCUUGGUUCAUGUAUAAUUUGAUGCGUAGACAACGACUUCUACAUCUUGUAGAUUGUAAUCUAAAUAAUAAAUAUUCAUUUAAAACGUAAUCUCGAAAAUAUAUAUUGUUUCCUUUUUUGAAGAUUUACUUUCUAUGUUUAGAGUAUUAUAAAAAUUUCAGAAAACGAAAUCUACAAUAUCGUAGAAUUUACAUUCUAAACGAAGAUUACAAUUUCUAACGAUGGCAGAAGAUGUAGAAAUUAGUAGAACGGCUAUUCUAAAAUAUUUAGAACAUAGAGCAAAGCGUAGAAUGCAUAUUCUAAAUAUUUUAGAUAUAAGAUUUUCGGACUUCUAAAAUUUUCAGAACAGAAAUCUAGUCUAAAAUAUGUAGAACAUGUACAAAAAUGCAGAAUACACACUCUGAGUUACGUAGAAUUCUAGAAAACGUGUUCUAACAAAAUUAGACGAAACUUCAUCUAUCAAAAAUUCAACUUUUUUUUAGCCAAAUCUAAAAAUUUUCACUUCAAAUCACCCCUACUCUUGUAUAUCUACCUGUUUUUCUAAUAAUAUUUUUUUUUUAAAUAUUUAAAAUAGGGUGUAGGGGUAGUUUCGUCCAAAAUGACAAUUUCACCAAAAAGGUAUAUAUGGACAAAUUUUUAAGUAGAUAUCCUUUAUUUCCAAUUUUCCCAAAAAAAAUACUAAAAUAAAGAAAUUACAACAGAUUUCAUUUCUUUUUGCAUCGGUGUUAUUUCUUGCCUCGGUUUGUAGCUCCCAAUCAUGCGUAUCACGACCUGAUUGCAGUCAUUUGAAAAAUUCUUGUUUGAGUCAAACUAGAUUUCGUUGAUUAUCUUUCUCUCAAAAUUCUUUAGUUUCCUACUUAGACCUGACUGAAUUUUCUGAGUUUCGUUUUCGUUUCCCGUGACUUUCACCAAAAAUCCCUAAAAAGGCUAAAGAGUUCACAAUACAUACAAAAAAAAACAAUCAAAGAUUCAAAUGAAUGAAAACUGAACUUAAAACAACUCUAAAAUACGAUAUAAAAAAAAAUCAUUAGCUGUCUAUAUACAUUUUAGAUAGAAAUUGAAAUCCAAAAUUGGUCAUUGCCGAAAUAAAAAUAUAAAUUUUCUUAGCCAUUUUCAAAUUUCUUUCCAUUUUUUUUUAAUACAUUUAUAAUUUGAGUGGGAUUUGAUUAACAUAUCACAAACUAGCCGUUGUAAGCGCAUUUCCGAGGAAGACUAGCCGUUACGCUCUCAUUCCCCUUUUCUUUUUUAUUCUUCUCUCAAUUUUAUUUUUUUCCUUUACAAAAUCAUCAAAACCCUAAGCGUCGAAUUCAAUUUGCUUCCACAGAACAAUAGAUUUUCAAAAUCACAGAUCCAAAUCGCUUCUUCAAUGGCGUCCAAAACAGUGGCUGCUAAAGAUAUCAUCACUUUACACGGAUCUGCUGCCAUCGUCAGCGAAUUCUUCUGUGCGUAUUUUCAAUCUCUCACACUCAAAUUUCGUGUAAUUUCACAUUCAUUCUCUUCGAUUUGAUGCUUUUUCUUCUUCUUCUUCCAGGUUACGCAGCGAACAGGUUAGAAUUGAAUCGGUAUUUCAAAUUCAGUUUCUGGAAAUCUCCGAUUAGAUUGGAUAUUGACUCGUUUUGUUGUUUUGAAAUAUAGUAUCUUGUAUAAUCGAGCAGUUUAUCCAGAGGAAAGUUUUGUGAAAGUGAAGAAAUAUGGACUUCCGAUGUUGCUUAUUGAAGAUGAAUCCGUCAAAUCUUUCAUGUCUAAUCUCACUUCUCAGAUCUCCGGUAAUGUAUUUUUUUUUUAAAGAACAGAACAAUAGAGAUAGGUUUGAGAUAUGAUUCUUUUGUGACUGAUUUUGUUUUUGGUCUAAAGAAUGGCUUGAAGCUGGGAAGUUGCAGAGAGUAGUGUUAGUGAUAAUGAGCAAAGCUACUGGUGAAGUUUUGGAGAGGUGGAAUUUUCGGAUUGAGACUGAUAAUGAAGUUGUUGACAAAGGGUCAGUCUUUUUUUUUUUUGAAAAUUGUUGAAUGUGAUGUUCUUGUUUUCAUCAUCUUUAUGGAACUUUCAGUGUGUCGAGGGAGAAAAGUGAUAAGGAGAUCAUGAGGGAGAUUCAAGCUAUUAUGAGACAGGUUGCUUCAAGCGUUACUUACUUGCCUUGUCUUGAUGAAACAUGUAAGUACCAAAUCAUAGCAACUUUGAGUUACCAUUUCAACACUAGUUUGGGUUUAUUUGGAUUUUCAUUUUUUAUUGUGUUUGUUUAGGUGUGUUUGAUGUAUUGGCGUAUACGGACACGGAUGUGGCUGUUCCAUUCACCUGGAUCGAAAGCGACCCCAAGUUGAUUGCUAAUCCACAGAUGGUUAAGUUACACGGGUUUGAUACCAAGGUAAGGAGGAGGAAGAAACUUGAAACCUCUAUUCCGAUCACUUUGAAAUGUCUUAAGUGUAUUGGUUUUCAUUCUCUGCAGAUUCACAAAGUCGACACGCUCGUCUCAUACAAGAACGACGAGUGGGAUGAAGAAGAGUAACAGAAGUCGGGACACGUAUGCAAUGCUCUUUGUUCAGCUUUCGUUUAUGUCUUUGGGAGUUCUUAAUGUUCUAAAGGCACGUGAAUCCUUUAUUCACCCCUAUGCUUUUUUCUGUUUUGUUCUUUCUGAAUUGUAUGAGAAUUCUGUACCUGUGUUGUGUUGUGUUUCGUUCAAAAGUUAUCAGCUUUUCCAAUGUCCCUGUCCCUUGCAUUGAACAAUCUUGGGUGAAAAAGAGAUUUCUAAAAAGCCAAUCAAAUUUCUCUGAUUCACAAUGGAAUGUCAAAAGAGGUGCAUAUUUACAGUGACCGAUGAAAAUAAAGGUUUUUGGAUAAAAAAAAAGAUCUCUAAAAAGCCAAACAAAAAUCUCUCUGAUUCACAAAGAUGGAAUGUGUAUUUACAGUGACUGAUGAAAAAUAAAGGUUUCUUCUAGCCUUUUGUAGACCCAUUUUCUCAUCUCAUUCCUCGGUAUAAGACACCGGAUUGAAGAUCGUCCAUAUUGUCUAUGUUCCGAAACGCGUCAAUCUCUCUCAGACAUGUCCAUCCUCGUCGAGCCAAGAAAUCUCGGUAAUCUUCUUCGGUGUAGAAUAUCUUCUCCUCUUGAUGGACCGGUAACGGAUCAGAUUCAUCAUAGUGGCACACUCUAACGGCUAUCCCUGAAUUCAAUUGGAUAUUGAGAAACCUCUAACCAGAGAGUAUUCAAUGAAUAGCAGAGAAAGAGUGAAUUUACCUUCAUCAACACGGAGUGUAUAGUUCCCUAAAGGCAUGUCUCGGUCAAGAGAGCGAAUAACCUGUUCUUCAUCUUCUAGCCAAAAAGCUCGUCUUGUUCUUAAUCUAAACGCGGAUCUGAUAGCUUCCUUGAUUGCUUCAGCAGUACCAUCAAUCCCAAAUCUUCUUGUAUAAUCUCCAAAUUUCACUGUUAUGAUCCUCCCAACAAAUGGCUGACCAUCACCCCCUGCUUCAAACAUGAAACCGAGAAUUAGUUGUCAUAUAAGUUCAAAAGCUUGAUGAAAAACAAAAACGCUUGCAAUCGAAGAGGCUAAGUUAUAUAAGCUUUUCUGGUUACUUACCAUUUCCAGCGGUGUCUCUCCAACUCCAAGGAGGAACUCCAUUUGCCGUGACGGGAUCAGCAGCAAUGGGGAGGGGAAGACCAUCAUGAUCAAGCUGCGUUUCAAGAUUUAGCGUUGGCCUGCCAUUAGCUGCACACAGAUACAACUCAUAUAAAGACUACACAACUUCCACAAAUCAAACAAAAUGUCCAAGACAAAAUCGGCUUCACAUUAUCACUAACAUUCUAUAAUUUGGUAUUGAGUUCACUUUUAUUUCACUGAAUAAUAAAGCAAUCAUAAGUGCACAAUUGUUUACCCAAAGCUAGGACCGAUACAACCAUUUCUCUCAAAGUAAUUCCCCAACUAAAAAGGAAUUCAACACCACCAUUUAUAUAUACACACAAGAUUCAAGAAAUGUGAGAUCAAUACCUUCAACAGAUGUAAAUGGAAUACCAGUAUCUUCAAAACCUACAAGAAGAUAAAAAAAUAAAGAUCAAUUUUAGAAGAAAACCCAAAUUUACUAUAAAAAGUCAAUAUAGUUUAACAACCAAAUCAACAACUUUAUAAUUAGCCAUUAAUGGUCAAAAUCCUCUUAACUAGGUUUAGCACUAAAAGAGGAACAACACUAAAGAUCAGUCUUUUUCUUCACAAUCCAAAUCCAAAUCUAAACCAACACCCAUUAACAAAUAUUAUCAAAACCUGCAAAAAAUCCAUCAGAAACCCCAAAAUCAAGCAAAAGACUCUACCUUUAUCAGUAAAUUGCAUAAAGGAAUCAACUUUAGCAGAAGAUGGUGGAGUAGUAGUAGAAGGACUCUUAUACAAGGCCACUUUCUUGUUUCUUUCUGUAAAAAUGUCUUCAAUCUCUUUGUAAUAAGACAUCUUCGUUGAUCCUCCACUUGUUGCUUUAUCAUCAUCUUGAUACUUAGCUUUCUUAAACUCUUUCAAUAUGUUCCUCCACUUGUCCGUACACAUAGUUGGUGAUCGAUCAAACCCUUUCUCUCUCAUUUUGCUCGAAAUCUGUUCCCAAAGAUGUUUGUUAGAUUUAGAUGUGUUGAAAAGAUUGUCCAUUUCUCUCCGUAACGAGAUUAAGCAUCGAGUCUCGUCUUGUGCCCAUGUCUCUGCUCGUUUCUUUGGUGCUUUGAUGAUCUCAUGAUCCUCUCCUCCACUGCUAUCUCCGAGGAUGAUCUGAUGAUGUUGUUGUUGUUGUAUCGGUAGAUCUCCGUUUGAUGAUGUAACAUCGAUCAUCAUGUUCAUGUCCCGUGAAGGAUUGUUAUCGGAAACAAACAUGUUUUCUCCGAGGAACAAGGAGAGAUAGAAGAAGAUGUCAAAGAAAACAACACUUUUUUCUUUUACCAUAUACGCGUGGAAUCAACGCGCUGCUAUAAGAGCGCGUCCCUUUGAUAUUUAGUCAAAGCUUAUUAUCUUAAAUUGUUUGAAUAUAAUAAGACAGACAACAUGGAUCAAGAACAAUCCAAGGUUACAAACUUUAAAUCCAAAGAGUAAUCUUCAUGAUAAUUAUAACAAUAACAAUGUGUCCAACAAAGAUGGAAAUGGAGCAAGUUUUUAUUAUUUUUAAAAAGUUUCUAGAGAUAGUUGAAGAUCAUCUCCAUUGAGCAAAGGUAUAUCACCAACCUGAAAAACCAGUCCUGGAUUCAGUAUUUAAGAAACGUCUAACCAAAGAUUAAUGAUCUAUGAAUAGAGGCAAAUUUACCUUCACCGAAAUGGAGUUUAUGAUCUCGAGUAAGAAACUAGACAACCAAAUGAUUAUCUAGUUUCUUGUCCUAAAUGAUGGUAUCCUUUAGUGGCUUCACAAGUGUAUACCAUCAUCAAAUACAAACACUUCUUGUGUAGUCUCCGAAUCCAAAUUCCAUUUACCACACUCAAUAAACAGACCUAUCCUUCAUCAUCCUUCAUUGACAUUGAGUUUAUGAUCUCGGUCAAGAAAGGAGGCCAACAAAUUUCUUCAUCUUUUCGAUCAAAUGAUCAUCUGCUUCUCAACCUAUAUGCAACCCUGAUGGCUUCAGCAGUGUACCACCAAUGCCCAAACUCUUCUUACUAUACGUAGUCUCUGAAUCCAAACUCAAACCACUAAAACAGCCGACAAAUCCCAUCACUUGCUGUCAAACAUACUACUCAGCCUCUUUCUUGGGUUUUCCUUUUGCACAAUUCACAACAUCAUCUGUUUCUCAAACAGCUUCAACAGUACCAUUACUAGUCCUCCCCCACCAAACUACCCUGCUUCUUUCUUGGAUAUUUCUAUUCCUUAUUCUUCUUUUUUUUUUUUUGUCUUUUCUUUGUCAAACCAAAUAAGUAAUACUAAUAUGUAUACAUAUGACAACUACACCCACGGGAAGAUAUAGUUCCCACAAACUAAAGCCUAACCAUGGAGACUGAACCAUUCAAUCAUAUAGAAAAGAAAGGCUCAGAUGGAAUUUUAUACCUAGAGAGUUAACUUAGGGGCCGGCUUCGAACAAACAGCACACAAAAACUCUAGACAAAACGUUUCUUCGUAUUCGCUGUCAUUGAUGCACCGACCACAGUGAUAACACCUCUGUAUGCAAAGAGAACAAGCACGGCAUUCCUCAGAACCUUUCUUUUUCCCUUUACAAUCUUCUGCUGGACAGUCAUACACAAGCCUAGAAUUUUGACACUUUGGGCACAUCUCAAUAUCUAGCGCCCGGUCAUCAUCACAGGACACACAUGCAUCUCCUCUAUGGUAAAAACGCGGCUUCUGAAUAGUCUGCUCGACUUUAUUGUCUAUGUUCAACAAGUCAAACAAUUCAUCGUAAUGAUCUUUAGUAACUCCAAAGAGGCCACCAAUUUCUAAAUGCUUCACUUGAAGCUUUCCCGCAUACUUCAGAUCCCUCAAGAUGCUCAAAAUACCAUCAAUAGUGAUCCUUGUGCAUCCAGGCACACCAAGCUGCCAACCACAGAACAACAUUAGAUUUAAAUAAAAUCCCACAAAUCAAUUCAACCACGAAGCACAUCUAUAACAGCUUAUUAGUAAUCCAGAUAAACUUGAGUAAAUAAAGGAAAAAAGCUCACCUUGACUACUUGUGGGUUGCGCUCCAACACCCGCUUAAGACAAUCAUCAGUAAUUCUACAGCAAUCUACGAGCCUCAAACACUGCAUAGUACCCUGAGCCCUCUCAGUUAAAUGCAGCAGAGCCUCUUCCGUAAUCUUCUCAUUCAACGGUUGACAAAUGUGGAUAUGCUUCCACAAUAACGAGUCAUUACAAACAGUAGUAUGCAGAGACUUGCAAACCAUACUAACUGAAAGAAGAUCCUUCACUCCCAAGUGAUAAAGACAAAAACCAAACGCUGGAUGAAUAUUUGAAUCCUCUCCUCCAUUACUGCAGCGAUCACUACUUCCUACAACUCCACCAUUCCUCGCAUCCUCGAGGCUCAAUACCUCAUCAACACUACUAGCAGAUAUGAAAGCACCGUGACAAGAUCCAUCACCAUCAAAUGCUCCUCCAAACACAUUAUUGUCCUCACUACUCUCCGGGAAUUUACAUGCGGAAAACAAAGACCCAUCAAAUGCCCCACCAAACCCAUACAACGACUCCGAUCCAUUACUGUACCCACUACUCUGAAACUGCAUUGCAUUGUUCCAAAUGAAACUCAAUCCAGCAAAGAGCUGCUGAUGGUUUCCAUCACCAAUCCAAAUGUCAUCACUUCUUCUUCCAUAUUGGUUAUUAUAAUCCAAAUCCUCAAGCCAUCCAGUAAUGGCCGUGAAAGUAUUGUUGAUAUCCAUACCAAACGGAUCAGAUGGCAAAACAUCAAGUAUGUCAACAGAAGAAGAAUCUCCAUUACUCUUCCUUCCAUUAUCAAAACUUGAACACCAAUUCCCAUUGGCUAUCUUCAUUGGUUCCUCAGAUAGAUGAGAAGCAAAGGGUCUAUGUGAAAAAUUUAAAGCCAUUUCUAUUAAAUCUCUAUAUACACUUUAAACCUAAAAAAAAUCCCUCUUUUGUACACAAUCCCUGAAAAAAAACUCAAAACCCCCCUAAGAAGAUAGAUCAGAUCCGAAAAAAACUAAAGGUUAUUUUUUUUGGGUUAUCGAAAGGCGAUAGAUCUAUGGACAGAAAAAAAGGAAACUCUUGAUUUCAGAUGGCAACAAAAAAAUACUAGGCACCAGAAAUUUUCAGAGCUUCCUUGGAACCCUAAAAAACCUAGAGAAAAGAAAUUCGAAAUUGAGACGUAUUAACAACCAAAUUGGGUAACACAAAAAGAAUGAAUUGAAUAAAACUGAUUUUUUCCCUUUUUUUUUUGUUUUCUGUUUACUCUUCUUCUUCCUCAAAACAAAACUAGGGUUUUCAGAAAUUUCGAAACCUAAUCCUAAACAUUAUCAAGAAGAAGAAAGAAAGAUAUGAAUUUUGAAUCUGUGGGAUUGAAUUGAAGAAAUUGAAUCAAAGACACCUCUGUUAUUUCCUCACCCACGAAGAAGAACAACAACGCGAUCAACGGGAAAACCAAACCGAACCCUCGCCGUGAAACUAAACAAGAUCUCCUUUUUUGAGGGAAAUCUUCAGACUUUCGAAUUGGGAAUCAAACAAUUCUCACUUGGGAUUCAAAGAAGAGAGAAAGAUGGAGAAAGAGAGAGAGAGAGAACAGGUUGGUGAAUUUCGUCGACCGAGUCAAGAGAGAAAAUGAUGGAAAGGACGAGAAAAUUGUGCGAAAAAUCUCAACUUUUUUUUUAUUUUUAUUUUAGGGGUUGAGAUUUUACGUGGGAGAGAAAUAAAUAUAAAACUGGAGACAAAAUAAAUUUAAAAACUUAAAUACAAUAAAAUGGAAUGAGAUAAGAUUAGGGUAACGGUGAAAUUGUCAAAGUCUUUGGAAUAAUGGACACGUGUCAUUUGUUUAGUUCUUUGUCAUUCUUUCCAUAUGCCAACAAACUAGGGAUAUCUUAUUUUCUUGUUCGUUUUUUUAAAUCUAUUAUCCAAUAAGAGAUAUUUGAGUUUUUUUUUUUUUUUUGUCGGCCAUUUAGAUUCAUUGAUAUAGCCCAAAUGGGCAAAUUACAGAAAGUCCAGUAUACAGAAGAUUACAGCGAAAAUAAAGCUUAGGUCCUAACUAAAUCUUAAUUAAAGAAAAUAAAAUAUUGAAGCACAAAAGAUUUAGAAAUUGACACGUGUGGGAUAUGUGAUCUUCUCGAAGCUACGCGUCAAGCCGUGGAGUAGCAUCGUCAACGUCGCCGGACAUCGCUGGAUCGCCGAUUAGUCACCGCCGAUCAGCUCUGAAGCGAUGAGAAUCCUCUUGCUUUCUGCCGAUCUCAAUUCCUAGCCAAACGUCAAGAAAUCUCCGGAUCGAAUGAGAAAAAAUAGCUUCAAAUUCAUUCGAGCAUCACUAUCUUCGGGGAAGCUCCAUCACUAGCCACACCCAACUUGAUGUGGUCAGAUCUUUGCUCUUUCUUCUUUGAGCAAAAGGAAUUGAUGAAGAUAUUACUCCUCGAAAAGAUUGGAAGGAUCGGAGAGAAUUUUGAAGAAAAGCGGAGAUAAUAACGGGCUUAGAGAAAAGAUAUCAAAUCUCGCUAGUGCGAGAAGCAAAACCCGGACAGAGCCGGUACUGAGAAUUCCGACAAAAGCCGGAAAUUAUUUAGUUCGUUCAAAAAACGAAAAUAUGUACAAUUCCGGUGAAGUCCGAAAUCAAAACCGAAAGAAGACUUCUCCACUCUGAAAGAUUUAAGAUGGAUAAGAGAAGAGAAGCUUUUUAGAAUUUCCGGUUAAUAAUUCCGGUACACCGGAAAUCGCCUUCUCUCUGAGAGAGAAAGCUCCCAUUCUUUUUAUUUUAUUCUCUCUAUUUGAGUUAAUUAUAUUAGGAUGAUAUUCAACUACUUAUAUAUAAAAUACAACCAAUUACGAUAAACAAUGUAUACAAAUAAUAAUUUUACGCUGCAAUUUUUUUUAUAAUAUUCGGAUUUCCA